GGAAAAAAAGUAAGAAAGAAUAUCUUAAAAUUAAAAGAAAAUAUUAACAAAAUAGUACUCAAUGCUUAAUCUUAUAAUAAUAAAUUAAAAUGGCAAUAAAAUAUUACUCAAGGUUUGUUAAUUUUGAAAAUAGCAUGUAUUCAGAAGAAGAAUACCCUAAUUUUUACAAAACUAAAAUUUUAGAAUUUGAUAUUAGAUUAAGGGAAAAAAAUAAAAGAUUGCUACCUGACUUAAAAUAUGAGCAUUAAAUUGUGCUCAAAUUUAUUUAUAUUUGUCACUGGUUAACUUAAAACCGUUUAAAUCUGUUAAUAUUAUUUUUUUAUUUUUAAAAAUAAUUAUUUUAUUUAUUAAUUAUAGAUUCUUUACUACAACUAUAUAAUUUUCCUUUUAUUAAAUUUCUAAACAUAACAAUUUAAUAUUUAUAUUAUAAUAUAUUAUAUUUUCUAUGUGAUAUGUAGAUUAGUAAAGUAAAUGAAAAUAAUAUAUUAUAAACUUGAAAAUAAGUGGGUUAGGCUUGGGCUUUUAAUAUGGAGUCAAGCCUGAUCUAAGUUUAAACAGGCUUAAUUUUUUUUUGUGCUUUAUAUUUUUGUUUAAACCUCUCAAAUUUUGAAUGAGCUUUUGAACUUAGGUGAGUAGCUUGAUGCUUAAAUUAUGUAAUUGUGUAAUUGCAAUUUGUAUAGAUAACAUAUAGAAUUACGAUAUAAUAAAUAGACCCUAACUAAAAAAAUUGACUUCAAAAUUAAAAGGUUUAAUACUUGAUUUGACCCUUAUACAUUACAAAAAAUCUUAAUUUGGUACUUAAAAGAAUUUUUUUGGUCACUUUGGCCCUGUGCUAUCAUUUAGUCUAUUUUGUUACCUCAUUUGACAUUUCUAAUAAAAGAAAACUCAUAAACCUACCAUGUGUUCACAAAAAAAAAAAAAAAAACAGAAAAAAUCAUUAAAUCAUUAAAAAUGCAAAAAAUUCUAAAAUUUUCAUAAAAAUUAUAAUGUAUACAAAUUUACUUAUCAAUGUAAACAAAAGUUUGAAACAAAAUAAUAUAUAAGAAAAAAGGGUAACUACAUCUAAUGUCACCUAAUUAUUAGUAAGUUUACACUUAUUAAUAAAUUUACACUUUGGUCACUCAAUUUCAAAAAAAAUUAUAUUUGAAAUCUAAAGUUAUAAGUUGGCCACUGACUCGUUAACUUGGUAAUGAAUGUCAAAUAUGACCAUUAAUUCACUAUUCACAUAGGGUAAUUACGCCCAAGGCCACUCAACUAUUAAUAAGUUUACAUUAGUUAAUUCUUUUUUAAAAAAAUUAUAAGUUGGUCGUUAAGCAAUUUGAAAGUUUUAGGGACCUCAUUCACAAUUGUAUUUUAGUAAUUUCACCACUGUUCGACCUCCUAUGUUGACAAAGGAACACACCAAACCAGAGCUUUCUUCCUCCUCUUUCAACUUUCUAGUUUAGUUUUCUUUGAAAUGGCCAAAUUCCGCUGGUUUAAACCCAAAGUUCUAAUGUAGAAGCUUUCCGAUCUUCAUCCACCAUCAUCGGAUGAUCGCUUGACUCUAAUAUGUUCUUCUUCUUAGCUAGACUUCCUCGUUUUGGAUUGAUCCUCCUCACCUGGAACUUUUCGACUAACUCUUGACCGAAUCUAAUAUAAUUGAGUUUCCCUUUUCUUUUGAUAUUUUGAUUCUAUUUUCUUUACUUUUAUUUUGUCUCUUUCCUUUAGUAGAUCCUGUUUGAGGCUCACUAAAACAUAAAGCUUUCUUCCCUUUUUAUUUGUAUUUUGUUUGUUUUGAUUGUGGUUGUGAUGAUAUUUGAUUACUGGUUUGGGGUAAGGGUGUCUAAAAUUGAUUAUGAAAUUUCUUAGUUAUGGUUUUGACCGAAGAGAAAAUAGUGACAGGGUUAAGAAUGAAGUAUUGUUGAGUUGGUUAGGUUAGAGGCGAGGCAUACCGUUUAGAUUAUCAGGGUACGGAGUAAUGAUGCAAAGAUUAGUGACUUUGUAAACUUCUAAGCUUACUAGUAAUUUAGUAACCAAAAUGUAACAUUCUUAAGUUAAGUGACUACAUUGUAAACUUACUAAUAAUUUAGUGAUCAAAUUAUACAUUUACCCAUCCAACAUCAGAUGUCCAUUAUCAAGAUAGCGGCCAAUGACUAACUUGUAAUUUUUUAUUAAUUCUAUGGCUAACUUAUAAAAUUUUAUAAUUAGGUGAUCAAAGUUUAAAUUUUCACUAAAAACGUUUGCUCGUUUCUCGCUUCCCCAUACAACGUCAAAGAAACGGAAAUCAGUUUCUGGGAGAGUCGGAGUCCAAAGUUUAACAACGGAGAGUCCUUUGAGGUCAGCUAAAUGCAUUUAUUACAAAUAUUUAAUCUUCAUGCAUUCAAUCAUUAUUAAAAAAAAUUAAUAGUAGAUUCUUUACUUUCAACGAUAUAUGCUGUGUAAAUCUAGGGUUUUGGUUGUUCUGGUUUUGGAAAGCUUUUUUAUUAUUAUUAUGAAUGCUAAGUUGUUGUUUGGUUGGUCAGAAAGCUGAGGUGGAAGUUUGGUGAUGGGUGAUUGAUUUUUUGUCCAGUAAUUGAUGGGAUUCUGGGCAUAAAAACAAUAUUUUUCCUUGUUUCUUGAACAAACAGAAUCUUAGGGUUUUCUCUACAUUGUAUUCAUUGAUUAAGAAUUACUAGCUACAUUUUUGUUUUUCAUUGCUCAUGGUGUUAAGUGGUGAUAUCUGAUGAUUUACUGCUAGUAGUGCUUAAAUUGAUGGAGUGUUUAACCAUAGUUUAUGACUGUUUAUUUACAACAAACCUAAUGAAUCUUUGUGCUUAAGUUGACUGGGUUCUUCUCUUAUGAUGUAGGAAUUGAAGCUAAUACUGAAUGGAGGGUAUUGGAGGUGAUAGGGCACCAGUGGCCUCACCUUUGCCUCAAUGGGGGCAUGAUACUUGGAGGAUGUAUCAGUAUUAUCUAGAUAAGACUACUCCUCAUACAACUUAUAGAUGGAUUGGAACCCUUGUUAUAGCAGCUAUAUAUUGUUUACGAGUCUAUUCUGUUCAAGGUUUUUACAUAGUCUCAUAUGGCCUUGGGAUCUACCUUUUGAAUUUGCUUAUCGGGUUUUUGUCUCCUCUGGUUGAUCCAGAACUUGAAAUUUCUGAUGGGCCUCUACUGCCAACAAAAGGUUCAGAUGAAUUCAAGCCGUUUAUUCGUAGGCUACCUGAGUUUAAGUUCUGGUAAUUGAAGCUUUAUAUAUUGCUUCUCGUCUAUAAUGAUGCUUUACAGGCAUUUUAUUGGUGGCAUUGUUCUGUUAUGUUUUCUAUGCUGAAAUCUUUGUGAUAUGUUUAUAAGGGACAUACCUUACCUAUUUAGGCCAAGUUAAAGGCAUUGCCUGAUUGUUCAUAUUGAUGGAAACAUACCCUUUGUCGUUUACCCAAAUGGAGAAGAUGUGGAAACAUGUGAUACCUGACUUGAUAUUGCAGUCUUUUAUACCUAUUCAAUGCCCGACUUAAAGAUGUGGAAAAUGCGUAAAAGCAUUAGCUCUCACCUGUCAAAUCCAGUAGUCAUUACCUUCUCAUGCAUUUUACUGCUUAUUUAGAAUGUAGAAUUUUUAACUUCUUUUUCCAAGGAAGUACAGUUUAGAAAUGUAUUUUCCAUUCAUAGCAUAGAAAUGCCGGUCAUUAUUUUUCGUAGUCAGUCAUAUUUCUUCAUCCAUUUGGGAAUUUGUUUUCUUGCUUGAGGUCUAUGUGAAUUUGUGCUUAAUGAAUGGGCAUUUUGAUUAUGUGUGUAAUACCUCUGUUUUAUAAUUUUUGCAGGUACUCCAUGACAAAGGCUUUCUGCAUAGCAUUUGUUAUGACUUUCUUUUCCUUAUUUGAUGUUCCUGUCUUUUGGCCUAUACUACUUUGUUACUGGAUUGUUCUUUUUGUCCUCACGAUGAGGCGUCAGAUUGCACAUAUGAUCAAGUACAAGUACAUCCCCUUGAACAUCGGAAAGCAGGUGAGCUUCCAACUCAUAAAUUAGCUCCCACAUUUAUAAUUUUAACCAUAUCAGUGUGCACGUUUUUCUUCUACUUUUAAUCGCUAGAGGCAACCUGGAAGUUCAGUCUCUGACAUCUCUCUGCUUGAAAGAUAAUUAUCUCCUUCCAUAUUUGACAGAAGUACACUGGUAAGAAAGCUUCUACGAGUGGCAGCAGCUUGUGUGGGGAUUGAAGCUUCCUAUAAUGGACUUUGGUGGGAAGAAAAGGAAAAACAGCAUCGUUACGCAGUUAUUACAAACAUGAGUUAAGUUGUCCCCUAUGAAGUGCUGACAUCCCAGAACACGGACAUUAUUGUUUCUAUACACAUGGUGAUGAAGAUUUGGUCAAACAGAUUUUUGAGAUUAUUGGCUAGUAAUUUGUACAACACGUUAAUCGUUUCACUCGUGUGAUCUAUAUUUGUAGAAGCUAAUGGGGUGCAACUGCCAAACUGCAAUUCAUACCGACUUCCAUUUCACAUUUAUGUGCUAUUUGAAUCAAGGAAGUUUACCGCCAGGCUUAUUGUUUUUGUUCCUGGUAUUGGUACGUGUAUGUACCUAUUUUUGUGUGUUUUGAUACGGUUUAUUAAUAGUAUAUACACACGCAAAAAUGUUUUUCGUGUAUAUAUGUAGUUUGAUUUUUAUUUUUUGUUUUUUAUGCCCGUUUUAUGUUUCAUAUCUUUGGAUUCUUGGUUAUCUCCUCUAAUAAUAUUGUUUUCAACUUGCUUCCUCUCUUGAGAGUACAAUGUCUUGAGAUUCGUCGUUAAUUUCUCAUGAGUUCAUUUUAUCCCCACACUUCAACAAAUCAUAAGUAUGUAUAAUGGGAUUCGUUACAUAACUCUUGUUUAUAAUGAUUAAUUUUAAUUUUAAAUUGUAUUAUAAAAAAAUGUUAAAAAAUAUUGAAAAUGAUUUAAAAUAUAAGAAUGCAUUUCGUAUCGGUAACAUACAAAGAUGAAGACUUUUAUUACGUACAAUUCCAAGAAUCUCGUAUAAUUUUAUUAUUUGCCUUACUCCUCGUUGCAGGAAAGAGUCGAUAAGAAAAAACAAAACAAAAAACAAAACAGUAAGACCGAAAAGAGUUAGCCAUGCCCCUUGUACUUUGGCCUCAAAAAGGAAUCAAUUAACAAGGAGGAAGGUCCUUUGGAGGAGGCAAAAUGGACUGAUCGGGUCCCUUUCCAUUCUCUACCACAAAAGCAGUCUUCAAACCCCACCCUGUAUGCAGCUCCAAAUGGCAGUGCAUGAACCAAACUCCUGAAGAAUGGAAAACGAAUGAUUUAGAACUACUACUUUCCAAUAUUUGAGUGUCACCAAUGUUACAUGUUUAGUUUGUGGUGAACCUUACCUGGAUUAUCUGCCUGGAACCUUAUGGCGGUCCAACCGCCUGUCGGUACUCCAACCGUAUUCCUUUCUGGAGGAUCAACCAAGUUAAACUUAGCAGGAUCUUUUGCGGGAUCGAAGUUCCCGAUUCCAGUCCCAACAACGAAGAAAUUGUAACCAUGAAGGUGGAAUGGAUGGGAUUCAACAGUUAGAAGAUUGGUAUCCUGCAGUACUAACUCUACUGUUGAGUUGAAUGCAAUCUUGCUUAGCCUGGUACCCGAAGUGGUACCAAGAUUUGCAGUCAAUGGUGCACCGGUGUAGUUGAACGGUUGAGGAGGGCGGUCGGGGAAAUCCGCGGUAUAUACUCCCUUGAUGUUGAAAUAAUGAGCUUGCAGAAGCCCAAUAUGUGGCAUAACAAAGGUAAUGUUGUUCAAGGAUGCAGCGAGUCGUGUUCCGUUCAAGCAGGUUGGACAUGGGUUAAUUCCUAACCCGAUAGUGUAGAAAAGACGCCUGUCAACUUUAAGAGGCACAUUUGCAGGGUAUAAUGGAGAGUUCAGGCUCCUAAGUUUGGCACUGUAGCUCAAUGCAAAGGCAGUGUCAUUGGGUAAUGGCAGCUUAGGAAGGAUUGGGAGGAUGGUGUUGGGAAUGCCUUUGUACUGAAGUAUAGCCGUUGCGGCUUUAUUGUCUACCGUCAAUGGUGCAUCCAUAAAAGGCCUAGCAGCCAUGAAAUAUCUACCAGGUGCUUGGUUAGCUUGAACAAGGACAUUUGUGGUCUGCCCUGGUGCAAUUAAAAUUGCUUGUGUGGUAAAUGGUUUGGUAUAAACUGCAUCUAUUUCGACCACUGUCAUAUUAUGGCCUGCGACUGCAAAGAAAAGUUCGUCGUUGAGUGCAGCAUUGAUGAUUCUCAAGAGAUAUGUCUUUCCUUGUUCAACCUCCAUUGCAAAUGUAUCUGCACCAGAAAAAGGAAAGUAAAAUAAGAAAGAAUGCAGGGCCUGUCCUGAAUCCCCUAUUUACUCGCUAAGCUUACGUUUCUCGGAACAUGGGAACAAUGGCCCUGGCUUUCCAUUAAUGGUGUGAGCAUCGGAUGUAUUUGGUGGCAACCCCAACUUGUUCCCUUGUUUCACAACUUCUUCGACAUCGUUAUUCCACCAUUCACCUGCGUUUCGAUUAACAAGAAUUACAUGAAUUGUGCAACUAAAAUGGAGCUCAGCUCACCAUUAUGGAUCAAAUCAUCCCACCUAAAACUAUGUUAGUUUCUCUGUAAGGCUGAGGAAAAGGGAAAGGGGUCCCUUGCUUUGGCAUGAUCGCAAUUGCACCAUAAACAGUGGCUCUUAGCCAAAAGAUAUGUGCAUGCCACCAUAGUGUCCCUCUUUGACCUGUUACAUUAAAGUCAUACGUGUAACUAUGCCCGUUCUGUAUAGGGCAUUGUGUUAUAUAAGCUGGUCCAUCUGCCCAUCCAUUGCGAAGCUGUUUAAGCCCAUGCCUGCCAAUGCCAUGAAACAAACCCAGCAUUAGUAGACAACAAUUUUGGAAAAAGAAAUAUGACAAAAUGAUGCAUUGCUUACCAAUGAAUUGACAUGUUAUAUUGUGCAUAGUUUGUGACAUUAAUGACAACUCUAUCGCCGUCUCUAGCGUAUAUGGUUGGCCCUGGAAACAUCCCAUUCACUGUAACGAUAGGUUUAGCAUGGCAUAACCUGCUAACGUUUUUCUCUUGAACCUGAAACAACAUUUCAAUGAUCAUAUUCUAAAAGAAAGAAAUGCAGCUAAAAAGUGAAUAUAUACAAACAACAUUGCCACUGAUUUAACUAAAUAUGCCUACAUCGAACUGGUAUCUUUUCACUGCUGCAUCUGCAGGAAGCGAAACCAAGGCAACCAGAUAAAGCAAGAAAAGCAAUAUUGGCCCUGAGCUCAAAAUUUUGCCCAUUGCCAUUUUGCGAGCUUUAAUUCUUAAACUUGUGGUGAGUUAUGGUUUAAUGGGGGGCUUUUAUAGAGCCUGGAAAUUAAAGGUUAAGCUAUAUAUGCUGUCAUCAGUUUGUUAAAGGUGGUACAUGAAGGCUUGUAAGCAAAAUAUGAGAGGGACUUGAAUGGAAGAUGGUAAGACUAAAACCAGAUGUAAUUGAAUAAAAUAGUUUGAAAUAUAAACAUGAGAGCUACUUAAAACCAAACAUUCUACGCCUGCAUGCCUUCAGCUGGUCAGCUUUUUCGUUAAGGAAAAGUGUUGAAGAUUUGCUUCACAUUCCAGCCGCUGUGGGUUGUUCAAUAUAUAUGUAUAUUUUUUAAAGUAGAUUACACAACACCCAUAUCUCACCUGAAAAAUAUGGUGGAGGAACAAGCUUCUUAUUUACUUGUUUCCAUUGAAUAAACAUAUAUUGUAAACGAAUAUAUGGUAGCCUAUAAUCGUUAUCUUCUGUUCAAUUUAAGCAACACCAUAGCGAAACCUUGGGCUUUGGCUUAAAUUGGUAUUUAUGAGAAACAACAGUGAAUUUAAGUUAAUUUAGUCUCUUUUUUUUUUCCUUACUACUAAUUGCACCAUCGAAAUACAACAUCAAUGGUUAUUCCCCUUCUAAAUGUCAUAUUUGUUUAGCAAUAGAUUAUUGCGGAAUGUGAAUAUACAAUUUAAUUUCGACUCCUUCUAUAAAGAUUUUCUAGUUUCACCCUUGAUUAUAUCCUUAUAUAUAUAACUAUUAAAAGAGUAAUAAUGUAUUAUAAAAAAUCAUAAUUUAUGUUUAAAUAUUACUUGGUUUUAAAAAUAAUUAUGUGUGGAAAUUGAUUGGCCAUUCUGCAUAUUUGUAAAAAUUACAUAUAAUUUUUCCUCAUAUGGUGAAAGAGAAAAUAUGUACAAUUAGAAUAGCUUUAUCAAUGAUUUUCAGUUCUGCAGUCUGCAUGCUUGGUGGUCCACCACAUAUAGUAUAAUCACAUGUAACAUUGUUACAUUUUGACAUAUAGUAAAAAAUAAAAAAAAUAUUAAGUGUUAAAAUAUAUGAGGUUGUUUUGGGUUUUUUUAAAUGUUAUAAAUUAAGUAAUAAAAUACUUAAAAAUGUAAUAUUUAUUAAAUUUUUAUUUAAUAGUAAAUAUGAAUUUCUUAAAAUAUAUUUGAAUAUUAUAAACUUAUAUUUUUAUAUUUUUUAAAUGUGUAUUAUAUUUUAAGGUUUAACUCACAAAUUGAUAUUUAAAUUAUAUUUUUUCUCUCAUCUUGGUAUUUAAACUUUUUUUUGGUCACAAAUGAUACUUAAAUUACAUUUUCUCCCAAGUUGGUACCUCUGAUAGUCAAACCAUUAAAUCUACUCUUUUUUUAUUAUAAAAAGCUUAACCCAUAAAUCUAUUUUAUAUAUCAUACCACAACAAAAUACAAAAUAUUAUAAUGUCAAAUUAAAAUAACUUUACAGUUAUAAAAGUUUAAACAUGAAUUUAGAUCUUAAACCAAACAAAUUCCCAAUCAUUUAUAAGAAGUUAAAUUUAUUUACAAAUUAUGCAUUAAACAAAUAAAUUAAUUUAAAAAUAUUUAUAUAUGUAUAAAUUUAUUUGGAUUGUUGGUAAAUGCGGAGACCAUGAUCUUAGGUUUUAAAGUAUUUAGGGUUCAGUCUCAACAUAAACAAUUAUCAUGUGUCGAUCUAAUGUGAUAUGUGGAUUUCAUUUGAAUUUUGUUCGAUUCUUCGUUCAUUUGUGCACUUGUUUGUGAACUAUUCUAUAUAUUUUUUUAUUUGUAAGAUUUCUUUUUUAAAUUUCAAAAAAUCAGGUGAUCACCUCUUAGCAGUGUUAAAAAAGAAUGUUAAAAUAUGUCAUAAGUCUAUGAUUCUUUAUAAAUUUAAAAUUUAGUCUUUAUAAUUUUAUUUUUAAAAUUUAGUCCCUUUACUUUUUAAAUUUUAAAAUUCAAAUCCAUCUGUUAAUAUUAUUAAAAUUAUUUUAUUAAUUUCAAGCUCAUUACAACGUCACCUUCUUAGCUACAUUACUACCAUAUGAGUAUUCUUUUCUUUUUAUUAUUUCAAAAUGUCACACUAACGAAUUUUACAAAAAAAAUUAACAAUCUUAACAAUUGGAUCCGGAUUUUAAAAUCUGAAAAAUAAACUGACUAAAUUUUAAAUUUGUGAAGAAUAUAGAGACCUAUGACAUAUUUUAAUAAAAAAGAAUACAAAAAAAUACAAAUUUAGGGUGCUUUAUUUUUUAUUGAGUUUAUUAUUUUUAUUUUUAAAAUGGUCAAAAAAGAAAAGCUAGCAUCCAAAAGUGAUAUUAUUAUAUUUAUUAUUUACAUAAAAAAACCACUAAACUUGGCGAUUAAAGCGGCUCGUUUCCACAAAGACAUGAGGGGUAUUUCCGUCAAAAUAGCGGAAUCUUAAUUAACCAUUAAAAAAAUAAAGACAAAAAGUAUUGAUUUAAGGGCAAAUAACCAAUAAAAGCCCAUUUAUUUUUAAAAUUACCGAAAUGGGCCAGGUCUUGAAUUAAUUAUUACAAUAGAUAAUUUUUCUCAAAAAUGCGUUGUCAGGGAUAAAGCAAGAAAACGCUUCCUCAAGGAAGCGCUUUGUGUCCACGUGGACAAAGCGCUUCCUUGAGGAAACACUUUCUCUAUUUUUUAAGGUUUAGGGUUUUUUCCAAUUAAGAUUAAGGUUUGGGAAUUUUUAGGGUUUUAAAUUUUAGGGUUUUAAGGGAAAAAGUUAAAUAUAUAAGGGUGUAAGGUUUCUUAAUUAAAUUAAUUAUAAAUUUUAAAAAAUUAUAAAUUAUUUAUAAAAUAUUUAUUAAGUCUAACUUUAUUUAAAUAUAGUUAAAUAUUAAUUACAAUUAUUAUAUUUUUUUCUCAAAUUUUGAAUUUAAACUUCUACAGUUUAAAAUAUAUAUUAAAUAUUAAAAUAUUAAAAUUUAUGUUAAAUUCCAUUAAAUAAAGUUAUUAAUAUUUAUUUAUAAAUCAUUCUCUAACAACCAAUAAAAAAUUUACCCAUGAUCUUAAGACCUUAAGGAAUUAUUAUCCCUAAAAUAUUCUAUUAUUAAUAUGAUUGUAUUAUAUUAAAUUUCAUUUUUUUUGCAUAUUAUAUUAUAUUAAUAUUUUUAAUUUAUUAUAAAUUUAAAAUUACAACAAAAGAUAAAUUUAAUAUAUAUAUAUAAACUUUUAACUCUCUUUUUUUUGUUUUUCAUAAAAAAUUCUUUUUCUAUUUUAAAAUUUGAAAAUACAAAAAUUCAUUAUAUAUUUUAUUUUUAAUUUAUUAUUAAAAAAAUCUUUUAAUAAAUUUAAUUUUUACUAAAAACAUUUAAUUUUAUUAUUUUAUUUUUUAAAAGAGUUUAAAAUAUAUAACGAAUAAAAAUUACAUUUAUUAGAUUUUUCCUUAAAAACCUUAAACACUAAACCCUAAUCUAAUUUUUUUAAAUUUAUAAUUAAUUUACUCAAGUAACCCUAAACCCUAAUUUAUUUGAUUUUUUCCUUGAAAACUAUAAACGCUAAACCCUAAUCUAAUUUUUUAAAAUUUAUAGUUAAUUUAAUUAAGAAAUCCUAAACCCUUAUUUAUUUAAUUUUUCCCUUAAAACCCUAAAAUCUAAAAUCUCAAAAACUCCAAAAUCCUAAACCCUAAAAAAUGGGAAAAAUACUUUUUCAAGGAAGCGUAUUGUCUACGUGGAUACAAAGCGUGCCCUCAAGGAAGCGUUUUCUAUCCACGUGGACAAAGCGCUUCUUUGAGGAAGCGUUUUCCUGCUUUAUCCCCUGACAACGCGCUGACGUGGACGCGUUUUUUGGGGAAAGGGUCCAUUUCGAUAAUUAAUUCAGGACCUGUCCCAUUUUGGUAAUUUUAAAAAUAAAGGGGCUUUUAUUGGUUAUUGUCCCUAUAAUUUUUAGACCAAAGGCUUAUCUACGUAAUCUCCACCGUAUACGGCUCUCAACGAAUCCUUAAUAGGUAAAACCAACCAGACCAGAUCACGGCGGCGCCCUUGAAACAAAAAUAGGUCCCUAUUCCAAGGAGGGAAAGCUUAAAACAAAAAAGCAUAAAUACAGGCGCCCCCCUUGAACACAAAAAAGCACAAAAAGCACAAAAAGCACGGCCACCAUAAAAUAAGAAAAUUAAGAGGCAGGAUUUCAAAACCCUUUCUCUUUAAAAUAUAGAGAAAAGAGGGACCAAAGUGAAAGAAAAUCGAAAUAUAGAUUUGAUUUUCAAUCUGCAUUUUCAGGUAUUUUUUUCUUCAUUUUUUCAUUUUUUUUUCUGGUUGAUUUAGUUGUUUUUUUUUUGCGUACUUUUCAUUGUUAGAUUUAGUUUCAAAUAGAUUGAAUCUAUUUUGAAUUUUUUGUAAAGAAAAUCAAAAUAUACCUUUGAUUUUUAAUCUGCAUUUUCAGUUACGUUUUUUUUUCAUUUUUUUCGGUUGAUUUCGCUUUUUUUUUUUGCUUACUUUUCAUUUUGUUUUUUAUUGUUAGAUUAAGUUGAAACAGAUUAAUUUUAAAUUUUUUUUUGAAGAUUUCUUGCGUUUCAAAGCUCAGAUUUGGAUUUCUUUUGUCACAAUCUAGUUGUUUUCUCUGAAAUUUUUUUCCGACGAUUAUUUAUCUCUUUGAGUUUGGAUACGCUGAACAUCUCAUUUGCCGGAUUUAAUCUGUUUUUUUAUCUGUAGCUAUCAAUUGCUGGUACUUUCAAGCAGUAGAUCUUUUGUUUUGAUAAGAAACGCAGCUAUCAAUGGCUGUGUUUUCGAGCCCCACCUUUGAAGCAGUAUUUUCUUUCGAGCCAUCUCAGUUUCUUUCCCGGCCACCAUCAUCUCUCUCACUCUGCUUCUUCUCUGUAUCUAUCGCCGCCGAUAACCGCAACCGCAACCAUCGCCUCUGGCACUCUUCUUCUUCGAAACUCUACAAUCCCACCUUCGCUUGCCGCGCCUCAUGUGACUCUCACGAGACUGACUCCUCUCACAGGUUUUUUUAUUUUUCUGGCAAUUUAUAUGUUUCCAACGAAAACAAAAGAAUACAAAAUUUGAGUCUUUUUUGUUAUUGUGACUUAUUUACGUUCAAAUGGUUUUUUUUGCUUUCUUUUUUGUAGGAAGGACCAUGAUUCUUCAGUUCAUGAUCUAUCCAAAAAGAUAGUUGGUGUAUUAGGAGGAGGGCAAUUGGGUCGUAUGUUAUGCCAAGCAGCUUCCAAGAUGGCCAUUAAAGUUAUGGUUUUGGACCCUUCAGAGAAUUGCCCGGCUAGUGCCCUUGCUUAUGAUCACAUGGUUGGGAGCUUUGAUGACAGUGCUACUGUUGAAGAAUUUGCUAAAAGGUCCAAUUUUGAUACUUAAUUUAUUUCCUUUCUUUGUUUUGACUGAAGUAUUCAUGCUCAUUGUAUGUUUUUUGGUAGUUAGAUGUGAAGUUUUGACGGUUGAAACUGAACAUGUGGAUGUUGCCACUCUAGAGAAGCUUGAACAACAAGGAAUUGAUUGUGAACCUAAAGCUUCUACCAUUCGAAUUAUCCAAGUAAAGUCCCUAGGCUUGUUUACUUGCGAGCGGUACUAAUGUCUGUAAUAAAUUGCAUCAGUUUCCUUUUACUGUUGAUACCUGAAUGGAUGUUAAGCAUAAUGUACUUUUUACGGCGAGUUAUCAAGCUGGAUUUACUAUUUUACAGGAUAAAUAUCUCCAGAAAGUUCAUUUUUCUCGACAUGGCAUUCCACUUCCUGAGUUUAUGGAGGUUUGCUUUCUGUUUUUUAUUUUAUAGGGGUUUAUUCUAUUGUAUUGAAAUUCUUUAAAACUUAUAUUGAUAUAUUGGUCUCUCUAUAUUAAUAAAAGCAGAUUAAUAAUCUAGAAGAAACCAAGAGAGCAGGCGAACUAUAUGGCUAUCCUCUUAUGAUUAAGAGCAAGAGGUUAGCUUAUGAUGGGCGAGGAAAUGCUGUUGCAAAGAGUGAAGGAGAGCUUUCUUCGGCCAUAGAUGGUAAGGGAGAUGCUAUUAGAAAGGAGAUUUUUGUAGCAUUUCAUCAUUUUCUUAAUUCAUAAUGACUUACCUUAAUUUUUUAAGGCAUAAUAUUUCUCUAAAUAUUUGUCAAAGACUAAAAUGUUGGUUGUGGGUAUCAUUCCAAAUCAACAAUUUGUAUCUACAAUUUGUAUAAGUCUUGACUAUAUCAAUACUUACAGAAGAACAUGUCUAAUUUGAUGUAGAUGUUCAUAUGGUGAUUGUCACUUGGGACUGGAGAAGUUGUCUUGUAUUCUUUCCUUUUCUUUAUUAGUAUCUAAUUUUGCCUAUGACUAGUUCCUUGUUCUUCUUGACUUUGAAAUUUCUCAUAAACUCCAUUUUUGUAACUUAGAUACUGAACAUUUACUUUUCCAGUUUAAAGAAUUUUCAUUUUUAUUGCAGUUCUUGGUGGAUUUGGUCAUGGCCUGUACGUUGAGAAAUGGGCUUCUUUCAUAAAGGUGAAUGUCUAGAAUGUACUGUUGACAUUUUUACUAUGCAUUUAUUUCCUCUUUAUUUAUUUUGUACUUGAUAACUUUAUGCUCACUGUAUAGAUGGGGUAUUUUUCGAACUGCCUCGUCAUGAUACAAAUAAUUACUAUUUGUUUAUAGACAUACUUUUGAAUUGUACUGACAUUGCUUUUAGGAGUUGGCUGUCAUCGUGGCAAGAGGAAGAGAUAACUCUAUCCUGUGCUAUCCAGUUGUUGAAACUAUUCACAAGUAAGACAUUCACGUUCCUUACUAGAAUUCCAUUUAUUGUAAAUUAGAAUUAUGUGAUAAUAUUUACAUAUGACUUGCGAGGAGCUCUGUAAAUCUACUAUGAUUGUAAAUUUGUGGGCUCUUAUAGGGAAAACAUAUGUCACAUGGUUAAGGCACCUGUUGACGUGCCAUGGAGGAUCAGAAAACUUGCAAAUGAUGUUGCAUAUAAAGCUAUAAGUUCAUUAGAAGGUGCUGGUGUCUUUGCAGUGGAGUUGUUUUUGACGAGGGAUGGUCAGGUGUACAUCUGCCAUCUUUAUGAGUUUUUUAUUCCACUCCUAGAUGGCCAGCAAUAAUUCAGCAAUUCUGCCUUUGACUGACCUAUUCUUUGUUUCUAUUAGAUUCUACUAAAUGAAGUAGCUCCAAGACCUCAUAAUAGUGGUCAUCACACUAUUGAGUCCUGCUAUACAUCACAGUUUGAACAGCAUUUGCGGGCUGUUGUUGGUCUUCCUCUCGGUGAUCCAUCCAUGAAAACUCCAGCUGCUAUCAUGUACAAUCUACUGGGUGAGGAUGAAGUAGGUUCCUUCUCUUCCUUUUCCAUAACUUCCACACCUUUCUGCUUUUAUGUUUCUUAUCAUAAGCUAAAAUAACUUUAUACAUGAGUAUAAUUUACUGAAAUUUUCUGUUUUCCUUGUGCUUGUGGGCAGUGAAUUAGUUUGUUAGAUUUGAGUUACACUAAAAAUUAUAUGGUUUCAGGGGGAGCCAGGUUUCAAAGUGGCUCAUCAACUUAUAGCAAGGGCACUGGAGAUUCCAGGAGCUACUGCUCAUUGGUAUGAUAAGCCAGGUUAGGUCUGCUUUAAGUUUCCUCAGGCUUAUCCAUCUCGCUGCCCUAUUUUUUUUUUCUCUCAUACACGUUCUUAUUAAUUGGCUGUCAUGAUGUUUUUACCAGAAAUGCGAAGGCAAAGGAAGAUGGGUCAUGUAACUCUUGUUGGCCCUUCUGUUGGUGUUUUAGAAGCACGGCUGAAAUCAAUGCUGAGGGAAGAAGGUUAUGAAAAUCUGAAUGAAGGUAGUUGACCUAGAGUUGAUGCUUGAACUUCAAUUUUGUUGUCAGUUUGUUUUUUGUUAGACUUACUGAAUGCAAAUUUAUUUAAAGGUUGAAUUAGAAGUAUGCGGACAUAACUGAAAUUGAACCACGUGAAGAAUCGAAACUACCGUUGGUUGGCUUUACUGACAUUUUGGAUCCUUUUUGUUGCUAAAUGCAGCUGCACCACGUGUUGGGAUUGUAAUGGGUUCGGAUUCAGAUCUUCCAGUUAUGAAGGAUGCAGCUAGAAUCUUAAAUAUGUUUGGUGUGUCUACCGAGGUAGCAUUUUUUUUUAGCUUAGAAUUUUUGUUUACAAAUGAUGCAAAUCCACUUUGACUCCAUUGAUUAAUUUAUUUGCAGGUUCGGAUAGUCUCAGCACACCGGACCCCUGAACUGAUGUACUCUUAUGCCUCCUCUGCUAGGGAGCGAGGCAUUCAGGUUAUCAUUGCUGGGGCUGGUGGUGCAGCUCACUUACCAGGCUAGUUAUAUAUAAAAUUAUUGUUUAACAUCAUUCUCCAACAUGCAUUAGCUAUGUUAGUGACACUGAUGAGGCCUGUUUUGAAUUAUAGGUAUGGUAGCUUCACUUACACCUUUACCUGUUAUCGGUGUCCCUGUCCGUGCCUCUACAUUGGACGGAAUCGAUUCACUCUUGUCAAUCGUGCAGGUAAGACUUGAACUUGUACAUGACAUUGCAUUCCCAAAUGCUCGAUGUUUAUACUUAUUUUAAUGAUGCAGAUGCCAAGGGGUGUUCCUGUUGCAACGGUUGCAGUAAACAACGCUACAAACGCAGGAUUGCUGGCAGUAAGGAUGUUGGGAGUUGGUGAUGCUGAUCUAUUGGCGAGGUAAGUUCCCAUCUCUCUUUAUAUAAAUAAAAGAUGGAUGCAUUUGAAAUUGAAACGUUGUGAAUUCUAAUUUUGAUUCGUGUUUUGUGUCGCACUUAUCCUUAGAAUGAAUCAGUAUCAAGAAGACACAAGGGACUAUGUCUUGACAAAAGCUGAGAAGCUACGGAAGGAUGGUUGGGAAGCUUAUUUAAAUCAGUAAGAGUAACGGCUUACUAGAAGGAUGGUUGUGUUUUCCAAUAUGGCUUCGCUUAAAGUUACUGUUACAUUCCUUUUCUGCAUUAUUUUGUUAUUCGCCUACCAACAUGUUUCCGCCAUAAGGCCUCUCCCUCAUGUUGAAGAUCACCUGUUUGCUGUGAUUUUCAAUAAAAAUCUUAUAAUUCAAGUGCUUCAAAGGGGUAUGGUGCCACCUUCUGGUGGAAACCCUUGCACUAAUAUACCUCGACGUAGCGGCGGUGGCACCUACACAAGUAAUUUAUUUCUUGUAAAUUGGUUUUUUUUUUUUCCGGGGAGGAACCCAUGGGAAAUUAUUGUAGGAUUCAAUUAGUUGAUAAUUCUUUUUAUUUAUUUUACUAUUAUUCCAAUGUUAGUAUGACAGGAUUACGUUUUAUCUUAAUUUCUUUAUUCAAAUAUAACAUAUUAUAAAUAGAAAUUACAAUUUAAAUUCAUUCAUAUUAAAAAUAUUUUCACAAUUACUAGUAAGUUUAUAUAAUGGGGUUGGUUAAUUAUGAAUAGUUAUAAUUUUAUCAUUCAAUUAUUUGAAAUUCAUCAUUUAAGUUAUCUCUUUGUUAGCUUUCUAUCAUUACUUUGUUAUUCCUCUUAAUCAAUUAUCAAUAAAUUUUUAAUUGGGUCAUCUAAUUAUGAAAAUUUACAAAAAUAAUUAUUAAUGUUAUCAAUUUGGUCAUUCAUCUAGUAACUUCGUAAAGGGCUGAUGGCAUGGCACAUUAACUUACAAGCUUUCAACUAUUACUAAAAUAUACUUUUAAAAUUUCUUUAAUAAAUCCAAAACAAAUCUAAAAAAAUUUAAAAAAUUAUCGCCUAGUGAAAAGAAGGAAAUGGCCGUGUGAAGUCAUUAGUCAUGGACCCAGCAUUUUUCAAAAGAAAAAAAAAACUGGUUAGAAUUUUAUGAAAUUUUUAAAAGUUUAAAUUAAUUUGCACAUAAUUAUAAUUUUUAAAAAUAUUUUUAUAAUUUCAAAGAAAAAAUAUAAAAUUUCAUUUUUAGAAUUUUUGAUAAAUUUAGAUUUUUUUGGAUUUACGUCAAAAAUAUUCUAAAAAUAUUAAAUUGAUAUUUUAGUUACAUAUCAUGAAUCAAGUUAGCUAUUAAACCUAUGAGUUAAUAUGACAUGUUAUCAUUCUGUUAAUAAUAAUUUUGUAACUUUCAUAGUCGGCUUAUCAAAAUAAAAAAUUACUAAUAAUCGGGGAACUUAACAUUAUAGCUUACCUAAACAUAUUUGAGGAAUAAUAACCUAAUGACCCACGCUGACAUCCGUUAGCAAGUUAACUGAGGGAUGACUUAAACGAUCAAUUUUGAAUAUUCGAAUGAUUAAAUUAUAAUUUUUCAUAAUUAAAUGAUCAAAAUUUAAAUUUACUAAUAGUUAAUGACCUUGAGUGAAAUUUACCCUAAAUCUUUUAGAUAAUUACAUUUAUUUUUUUUAAAAUUAAGAUUUUUUUUAAAACUUCAUGAAUUAUUUAUUUUAUUAUUUUCCACACAUAAUUAUUUUAUUGGGUUAUCUAAGUACUAAAUUACAUUCUAUUAAAAAUAUUUCACGUAUGAAAUUCCACAUCAUCCUGUUAACUUUGUUAAUGAAACUUUUAUCAAAUUUGUUAAAAAAGCAAUUUGAAAAAAAAAGAAAGAUUGAUGGCCAAAAAAGACUAAAAAAUUACAAUCAGGACCAUUUUAACAAAACAUGUAAAUAUUAGUAACUAAAUUUAUCAUUAAACAUUAUAUAUAUGGUUGUUCUUAAAAUGGGUUAAAAUUAAUCCACACUUAUAUUAACUAUGUAUUCAAUAAAUCUACACUAUAUUUAAGCUAUUAAGUUAUUUUAUAUUUUAUAUAAAAUUAAUAAAUGUUUUGCCAAAUAUAGGAGAAUGUGGGUUUAAGUGCGCUGAAACGUAUAAUUCUUCUAUUUAUGGGUUGGGAGGGGAUACAGGUAAUUCUACACAUUGUGUCAAAAAGAGUAGAUACGAUCAGAACCUAUAACGAGAUUGUUAAAAAAUAUUAUUUAAUUUUUAUAUAAUUUAAAAAUAUAUAUUUAUUACGUGAGGAAAUACUAAAAGUCAGUUUUCGCAGCAAAUAAACGCUAAUAUUUUUACUUUGGACCUUUUCAAAUUGCUCAAACAAUGGAAAAUCUUGACCAAACUUUUCAUCAACAUUAAUUCAUGCCUAUUGCUUUGGACCUUUUCAAAAUUUCAUCCUAACUAAAAUUUUUAAUGUAGGAAUUAAAUUUUUGUAAUGUUCUUAAAUAUAUUAUAGUCAGUCUACUUUAUAAUAACUACCCGCAUUUUUUUAAUAACCAAAUUUAUUAUAAAAUUAAUUUUUUAUAUUUUAUUUUUACUUUAUAUAAUAACUUUUCAUUUAUAACAGUAAUAUUUAUAAAAUAUGAAGUACACUCUUUACUAGGGAUGAUAAUGAAACCGGGCGGGGAUGAUCUUGAAUUUUACUACCACCUUCAUGGAUGUUGGAUACAUCCAUCCCCACUCAACUUCGCUUGGCUUCAAUUUAAUUUUUGUUACUUAUUUUUAAUAUUUUUAAAGUCAAGUAAAUAUUUAAACAUAAAAUAUGAUUUUUUUAUAAUACAUUAUUACUCUUUUAAUAGUUAUAUAUACAAGGAUAUAAUUAGGGGCGAAGCUAGAAAAUUUUUAUAGGAGGGGUCGAAAUUAAAUUAUAUUUUUUUACGAUAGUAAAAAAUACAAUUUCACCAUUUUAAUAUCUAUAUCUUUAUAAUUUUUAAAGGAUUAUAUCAAAAUUUUAUCAUUUUUAGGGGGGCAAAAUGUAAUUUUACCUUUGCUAAUUUAAAUUUUUAUAAAUUUUAAAGCUAAAUGAAAAUUUUUCUAUUUUAGGGGGGUCGGGGCCCCUGUCAGCCCCCUAGCUACGCCCUUGGAUAAAAUGAUAAUUUUAUAUAAUGGGGUCGGGUGUGGUGGGGCAAGCAAUUACCAUUACUUCUCCAUACCCACUAUCUAAAAGAAAAAAAUUCACCCUACCUCACUCCACAUCCACUUUUCAAAAAAAAAAACAUUUACUCCAUAUGGAGCGAAUUUGUUAUCGUGAAUUAUUUACGUUCAAAUGUUUUUUUUUCUUUUAUUUACGUUCAAAUUUUAUAUUCUUUUGUUUUCAUUGGAAACAUAUAAAAGCAAGAAAAAGGGUAAUAAAUUAAUUGCCAGAAGAACAUAAAACCUGCGAGAGGAGUCGGUUAUAAAAACUCGUUUCUCUCAAGUAAUUUUCUAUCAACAGUGAUGGAGGACCAGACAUAUUACGAAUAUAACAUUGUAACACCCAAUCUACAGACUGUUAUAAAAAAUUAUAAAAUAAAAAUUAAUUAAAAUUACAUAAAUGAAAAAAGUAUUAAAUAAUAUUCAAAAAUUAAAAUUAACCCUUACCAUUUUCAUUUGCUCAACAAAGAUAUGUUUAUGAUCGAGACGAAUUAAUUCCCCGGCCAUUGCUAACACGAUUAAAUAUUUUUGAAAUUAUAAAAAAAUACUAAUUUAGAAAGAAUUUAAAGGAAAUAAUUAAUUAAAGAAAUCUUUGAGAAAUUUAGGGAGAAAUUUGAGAGCUUUUUUGCCAAAUUUGGAAGAAAUAUUGUGUGGAAAAAAUAGGAGGGGGAUUUUAUUUUAUUUUAUUUACCGUGUCCAACGGCCAAAAAUUAAAAUAGUCGUUGGGGAAAAAAGGGGCUAAAACGCGUCCCUGGGGGAGCGAUUUUGCCACAUCAGCAAAGUGCGUCCACGUCAGCGCGUUUUGUGCUGACAUGGCAAAAUCGCUCCCUCAGGGAUGCGAUUUGCUGAAAUUUCACCAAAAAACGAUCCUACGUGGACUCGUUUUGCAUUUUACGACCCUUUCCGGUAAAUAAUUAAAAAUUUGGCCCAUUUCCGUAAAUAAAGUUGGAAAUGAGCCUUUAUUGGUAAAAUGGUCAAAUUUGAUGCAUAACGAAAAUAUAACUAUAUGAAUAUUAUUACAAGAAAUAAAAUUACAAUUAAACUAAAAUAACCAGUCUUGCAUAACUAAAUUAAAUUUUUAUUAAUUAAGUAGAAAAAGAAGUGAAAAUAUAAAAUGAAACCCAAAGGAAGGACAGGUUGGGGAAGGGAAGGAAAGUGGUAGCGCCAUUCUUCUUUAGAGCCAAAACUCGUUGCUUUUCUCAUCAAAAUUUCACGAGGAAGUGAUAGAAAAUUAGAAAAUAAUAAAUAUUAAUGCUCCUACAAACCUCAAUGGUUGUGUUUUCGAGCUCCACCUCUAAACCAGUUUUUUCUUUCAAGCCAUCUCAGUUUCUUUCCCGGCCACCACUAUCUCUCUCACUCCGCUUCAUUUAGGCCCCUUUAAAAUUUAUAAAUUUGACUAUUUUACCAAUAAAGGCUCAUUUCUAACUUUAUUUAUGGAAAUGAACCAAUUUUUUAAUUAUUUACCAGAAAAGGCCGAAAAAUGUAAAACGCGUCCACGUAGGAGCAUUUUUGGGUGAAAUUUCAGCAAAUCACGUCCCUAGGGGAGCGAUUUUGCCAUAUCAGCACAAAACGUGCUGACGUGGAUACACUUGGCUGACGUGGCAAAAUCGCUCCCAUAGGGAUGCAUUUUAGCCCAUAAUUUUUUCCCCAACGGCUAUUUUAAUUUUUGAUCGUUGGGGGGUCCAAUGAUAAAAAAACCUAUAAAACCCCCUUCCUAUUUUUUCCACACAAUAUUUCUUCCAAAUUUGGCAAAAAAGCUAUCAAAUUCUCCCUAAAUUUCUCAAAGCUUUCUUUAAUUAAUUAUUUCUUUUAAUUCUUUUCUAAAUUAAUAUUUUUUUAUAAUUUCAAAAAUAUUUGAUCGUGUAAGCAAUGACCGAGGGAAUUAAUUCGUCUUGAUCAUAAACAUAUCUCCGUCGAACAAAUGAAAAUGGUAAGGGUUAAUUUUAAUUUUUUGAAUAUUAUUUAAUAUUUUUUUCAUUUAUGUAAUUUUAAUUAAUUUUUAUUUUAUAAUUUUUUAAUAGUCUGUUGGGUGUUACAAUAUUAUAUUCGUAAUAUGUCUAGUCCUCCAUUACCGUUGAUAGAAAAUUACUUGAGGGAAGCGGGUUUUUGGCACGUGGCCAUUAUAGGCUGGGGUGCAAGUUGGACCCGAAACUUAUCAGCGCGUUAAUAGAGAGGUGGAGACUCGAGACGCACACAUUCCAUAUUCUAUGCGGAGAUUGUACCAUCACUUUGGGGGACGUACAGUUACAAUUAAGAUUGCCGGUGGAUGGGUCAACACUCACCGAGUCCGUUCAAUCUGCUGAUUGGGGAGCCAUAUGCUACGAUCUUUUGGGUGCGAUUCUAGAUAAUAUUUACGGAGGUCGGAUCGAGUUGGACUGGUUACGAGACACAAUCCCGGAGCCGGGGAAUGAUUUGACUGAAGUAGAAAGAAUACGAUAUGAUCGGGCAAAUAUCAUUGAGAUGAUUGGAGGUUAUCUGAUGCCGAACUUGUCACGAAACCUCGUACAUCUGAGGUGGCUGCUUAAACUCGUUGAUUUUAAAGCAAUUGGCGAAUUUAGUUGGGGGUCUGCCGUGUUGGCAACGUUGUACCGGGAUAUGUGCGGGGCGAUGGCACCAAAUAAAGCCAAAAUCAGAGGUUGCCUAUCACUACUACAAUCAUGGGCUCGGUUUCGCUUUCCAUUUUUAUGUCCUCGAGUGAAUCACCUAUAUACAUUUCCACUCAUAACGAGGUAAAAUUUAUAUUAUAUUUUACAAUUAUUACAUAGAUUUAAAAUAUAAUUGUAUGCUAAAAUUUUAUUUAAUUAGGUGGAACCAUUCGGUGAGUUAUGUUGGAAUACCUACCGCUCUUGAAGAUAUACGGCUUCUAUUAGAUCAAUUGUUGGAAGCGCAAGUAAGUAUUAAAUAAAAUAUAUAUACAUAAAAUAGUAGUUUCAUAUUUAUUAUUUAGUAUUAUGUAUAUAACUAAUAUUUUUAUCACUUUCAUAUAGUUUCAAUGAACACCAUACGAGGAUCCGACAAUUUGGGCACUAAUUACGGAUGAAUUCUUUUAAAAUCCAAACAUUUGGCAUGUUAAGGUCUCAUUGGUCAGCUAUGCUACUGUCGAGAUGCACCAGACGGAUAGAGUGUUGCGACAAUUUAGUUUCCGACAACCGAUUCUCGUGGCACCUGAGGUGCUCGAUGAUGAGCACAAAAUUGACUUACGGCAAUCGAAUACAAAUUGGCUAGUUUUAUGGUCGGAAUAUAUCAAAAUUUAGGAAAAUUGGUAUGAUCAUAUACUUACUCGCGAACCGAUCAUCGUUCUAGAGUUAGCGUGCGCGCCGGAUUACAUGCCAUUGUUUAGGAUUUAUGGCAAGCCAUAUUUGCUGUCAGAAGAGCAGAUGCGUCGGUAAAUUCAUGUCAAAAGGGAACGAUGGGGCCUUUUAAAUCUAAGGAGAAUGGAUGAUGGCACAGGCCCAUCAAAAGCGCCCACACAAUUUUCGAGCCCAACAUCUCAACCCUAAUUUAUUCCUUAAACCUACCAUAAACCUUAAACCUAAAUUAUUUUAACAAAACCCUAACCCUAAACCCUAAAACCCCUAAAUCAAACAACCCUAGGGACUAAACAUGCAAAAAGCCCUAACCCUAGAAAAACACGAGCUAAAAUGCGUCCCUGGGGAGUGAUUUUGCCACGUCAGCAAAACGCAUCCACGUCAGCGCGUUUUGUGCUGACAUGGCAAAAUUGCUCCCCUAAAGACUUGAUUUGUUGAAAUUUCACCCAAAAACGCUCAUACGUGGAUGCGUUUUGCAUUUUUUGGCCCUUUCUGGUAAAUAAUGAAAAUAUUGGCCUAUUCCCGUAAAUAAAGUUAGAAAUGAGCCUUUAUUGGUAAAAUGGUCAAAUUUGAUGCAUAACGAAAAUAUAAUUAUAUGAAUAUUAUUACAAGAUAUAAAAUAAAAAUUAAACUAAAAUAAUCAGUUUGCAUAGCUAAAUUAAAUUUUUAUUAAUUAAUUAGAAAAAGAUGUGAAAAUAUAAAAUCAAACCCAAAGGAAGGACAUGUUGGGGAAGGGAAGGGAAGGAAAGUGGUAGUGCCGUUCUUCUUUGGAGCCAAAACUCACUGCUUUUCUCAUCAAAAUUUCUUGAGGAAGUGACAGAAAAUUAGAAAAUAAUAAAUAUUAAUGCUCCUACAAACCUCAAUGGCUGUGUUUUCGAGCUCCACCUCUGAACCAGUUUUUUUCUUUCAAGCCAUCUCAAUUUCUUUCCCGGCCACUACCAUCUCUCUCACUCCGCUUCUUCUCCGUCUUUGUCGCUGCUGAUAACUGCAACCGCAACCGCAACCAUCUCCUCUGGCACUCUUCCUUUUCUUCUUUCUCAAAACUCUGCAAUUCCAUCUUCGCUUGCCGCGCCUCACGUGACUUUCACGAGACCGACUCCUCUCGCAGGUUUUAUAUUCUUCUAGCAAUUGAUUUAUUACCCUUUUUCUUGCUUUUAUAUGUUUCCAACGAAAACAAAAUAAUAUAAAAUUUGACAAAUGCUUCCAGGGUGCUUAUACAUCGCGUCAUCGCUGCCCGGAAAGACUUAGCCACUAGGUUUUAUUUAUAUAUUUUUCUUCACAAACAGAGCGAGAGAGAGAGAGAGCGAGAGUGAAAAAAAAAGAUAGAUACAUGGUAAAACCAAUCAGUCUUGGAACAUAACUACAAGAAAAAAGAAUUAAAGCAUCAAACCCAACAUGUAAAACGGAUCAGAACCAAAUUCUAGCAUAAAUCAUGAUUAAGCCAUUUGGUCAAGCUUCAAAACAAAAUCAUCAGAGUCCAAUAUACAGUGAACGCCAUAAAUUUCACAAACCGGUACAGUUAACCAGAUUAUUCAAAAAGAAAAAAGUAUAGUGUGAAUUAGUUCAAGGAUGUAAGCCCUCGGCAUCAUAACAAGUUCACUUUGCAAACUAAAUUUCAGCAUCAAUGCUAAUCAAUAGUGAUAAAUAUCAGCACACAAAAACAAACCAAAAUAAACAACCAAAAGACAGAAUAAAAUAUAGCUUUAUGCAAAAUCACAAACCCCAAAAGUACCCCAACACAAAAAUUACGAAACAAAAACUUGAACUUUAAAAGAAAAAAGACCCAAAUUUUAUAUUCUUUUGUUUUCGUUGGAAACAUAUAAAAGCAAGAAAAAGAGUAAUAAAUUAAUUGCCAGAAGAAUAUAAAACCUAUUAGAGGAGUUGGUCUCGUGAGAGUCACGUGAGGCGUGACAAGCGAAGAUGGGAUUGUAGAGUUUCGAGGAAGAAGAAGAAGAAGAGUGCUGGAGGCGAUGGUUGCGAUUGUGGUUAUCAGCGGCGAUGGAGACGAAGAAGAAGCGAAGUAAGAAAGAUGGUGGUGGUCGGGAAAGAAACUGAGAAGGCUUGAAAGAAAAAAUUGGUUCAGAGGUGGAGCUCGAAAACACAACCAUUGAGGUUUGUAGCAGCAUUAAUAUUUAUUAUUUUCUAAUUUUAUGUCACUUCCUCAAGAAAUUUUGAUGAGAAAAGCAGCGAGUUUUGGCUACAAAGAAGAACGACACUACCACUUUUCUAAUUUGUUUGACGGAGAUAUGUUUAUGAUCGAGACGAAUUAAUUCCCAAAGGAAGGAUAGGUUGGGGAAGGGAAGGAAAGUGGUAGCACUAUUUUUCUUUGGAGCCAAUGUAAUACCCCGAAAAUUACUACAGUAGGAAAGUAAGAUAUUAUCCUUGAUAUAGUAAAGUAAGGGAAAAAAGUGACAAAAAGGGAAAUUUUGAGUUAUGUCAACAUUGAGAAGUAUAUUAUGAUAUAUCACAUUAUUAAUUCAAGAAAGGACUAAAUUGUAAAAGUGAGAAAAGUUUUGUUGUCCAAGAGUAAAUACUCAAAAUUUAAGGGGUUAAAGUGUAAAUAUAAAAAAAAUUAAAGGACCAAUAGUGUAAAUAUUUUAGGGGUGGAAUAAUCUAGAAACUAAGGAAAAUGGAUGCAUUAGGACCAAAUUGAAUAGGUGAAGAAUUAUGAGGGACUAAAUCAUAAUUUUACCAAAUUAAGUGAUGACUCAAUGAUGGAAUUUUAAAAGAUCAUGAAAGGCAAAAUGGUCAAUUAGUAAGAGAGAGAAUUCUAGAAUGUAAUAAUUAUGUUGAUUUUUAAAUUAAUUAAUUAGAUAAAUAUUAUUUUAUUAAUAUUUUAAUAGGAUAUUUUUGAAUAUUUAACGGGCAAAAUAUUGACAAGAGAAAACAUAAACAUGAAAUGUAUUGUUACACGUGUCUGCUUGAAAUACAUGAAAAUGAUGAUACAUGAUAUAUAGAAACAUGAGAGGAUGAUAUAUGAAGACGGAAGUUGUUUAAUAAAUGUAUUCAUUCAUUAUUAUAGAAUUGUAUACCUCAAGUGUAUAAAUUACAUGAUAAUGAUAUUUUUUAUAUAAUUUAAUAGGCAAAGUUCUGACAUGAAAUAAUCUGAAUUCCGAGGCAAAUUAUUAUGAAAACGUACUUGAAUCACAGGGUUAUAACUUGAACAUGUUAUAUGAGUACAUAAUGUGAAAAGAAUAUGUACAUGUGAAAUCUAAUGAGUGUUGAGCCCAUAUAUGUUUCUUAAUAUUUAUAUGAAUUAUAAGACUAACAAAGGUGAUGAGGAUGUGUGCUAGGGCUCGUGAUCAAAUUGAUUGAAUAUGCUUUACAUGUUUGUUGUGAAUAUAAAUGAAUGUAAUUCAAAAGCUCGUAGGUUGGGAAGCUUGGCGAAGAUCAUUCACACUAUCCAUUGACCCCUUUUCGGUAUAAAUGGUAAAUGAAUUAUGGAUAUAAUGGCAUGUAUAGGUAGAUUUGUCAAUAUUGACUUAUAAAUGUUUGAAUUGUAACUAGUCAUUGGUAUGACUUGUAUUUGGUAUGUUUUUAAGUUACAUAUAUUUAUGGUUUUAACAAAAUUGAUAGGUGUUUUAAGUGGACAAAUAAUGAGAUGUUUUAGGCAUAAAAUGAUAAAUAAGGAUGGCAUGAAAAUGAUGAAUAUGCCUAUAUGUAUGAAUGGUUGGAUAGUAAGUUUAGAUACUUAAUUAUAUGAUAUAUCAUAUACAAGACUUAGGGUGAGUUUAGAUGGGCGGUGCGUUUACCUGCGGUUAGUGUAAAAACAGCGGUGGCAGUGAGAUUAGAUACUGUAGCGAUACUGUAGCGUGAGACAAAAAGUAAACUAAACGCACCGCACCGCACCCAAUCGCCCAUCCAAAACCACCAUUAGUUAAGGCUUGGUUAAAUGUCUUAAAUUAGUUCUUGAACAUGUUUAAGUGUUGGUGCAGAUAAAAGAUCAAAUGGGUGAGAAUUAAGGCUUGGAAAAUAACCUUAUUUUGUCCACACGGGUAGACACACGGGCAUGUGUCUUGACCGUGUGUGACACACGACCUAGUACAUAGGCAUGUUUCCUCUGCAACCUAGAAUUGAGAAACAGAAUGCUCAGAAUCGAACACACGGGCAGAGACACGGGCAUGUGUCCUAGCCGUGUGAAAUACACGGUCUGGAGACACGGGCGUGCGAUACGACCGUGUGAAAACUGCACAUAUUUUUGAAAAUUAAAUUAACCACACGGCCUAGCAACACGGGCGUGUACCUUGGCCAUGUAAUCCAAAUUUCUUCAUAGGUUGCAAGUCAAAGAGUUACACGGAUUAGGGAUACGGGCAUGUGAGCCACACGGCCUGAUCACACGGGCGUGUGACUCCUAUAAGUGAGAAAAAUUUUGGAAUUUUGUGAAAAAUUUCCUGAGACUGCGAUUUAGUCCCGAAUCGUUUUUAAUGCAUGUUUUGGGCCUCGAGGGUCCAUUUAAGGGACAUUAUGAUUAAACUUAGAAAGUGAAUAGUAAUUGCCUCGGUUGAUUUGAAAAUAUUCUGUAAACUCUGAUAAUACCUCAAAAUCCUAUUUCGACGACGGAUACGGGUUAGGGGUGUUACAAAAUUUGGUUGAGGUUGUUACUUGAGACAUAUAUAUAAGGGCUGCUUAGUUAAUGAAUUCAAUCAUCCCUUUCAUUCAUAUUUUUCUAUGCUUCCAUUAGUUCUCUACUAAACCAACAAUGCUAAAUAAGAUGCGAAUAAGUGAAUGUGUACCAAAGUAAAAUCCAUCAACCAACCAUUGGUUAUAUUUAUAAGUUUUCUUUAUAACCAAAAUAAAACUAAAAUAAUCAAAAGUGGAUUUAAAAAAACUACAGAUAAAAAAAACUGCAGCAACAAAUUCUAUCACCAGUCAACACCUCCAGCUUCCAUCUCUACUUCCCCUUUUUCUUUCAAAACAAAUGUCAAUUUUCACUUCAUGGGGUGAGGUAGCAAAUCAUUGUGCAAAGUAUGACUAUCUCCUCUAAUAAUAAUGUUGUUUCUAAUUUGUUUUCUCUCUUAAGAGUACGAUAUAUCUUAAUAUGCAUCCAAUAUUUAUUGAUUUAAUAUUUAGUUUAUUAAUAAUAUAUAUACAAGCAAAAAUAUUUUAAUUACAUAUAUGUAUGCAUACAUUUACAUACAAGUAUAAAAUUUAAAAUGAUUAAUUAAGUUCAAUGAUUAUUAAUUUUAAUUUUAAUUUUAAUUGUAAAAAAAAUGUUUAGAUAAAAAAUAUUAAAAAUUGAUUUAAAAUAUAAAAAAGAAUGCAUUUCGUAUCUGUAAGAUACAAAGAUGAAGAUUUUAUUACGUACAAUUCCAAGAAUCUUAUAUAAUUAUAUUAUAUGCCUUCCUCCUCAUUGCAGGAAAGAGUCGAUAAGAAAAAGAAAAAACCAAAACAGUAGGACUGAAAAGAGUUAGCCAUGCCCUUUGUACUUUGGCUUCAAAAAGGAAUCAAUUAACAAGGAGGAAGGUCCUUUGGAGGAGGCAAAAUGGACUGAUCGGGUCCCUUUCCAUUCUCUACCACAAAUGCAGUCUUCAAACCCCACCCUGUAUGCAGCUCCAAAUGACAGUGCAUGAACCAAACUCCUGAAGAAUGGAAAACGAAUGAUUUAGAACUACUAAUUUCCAAUAUUUGAGUGUCACCAAUGUUACAUUUUUAGUUUGUGGUGAACCUUACCUGGAUUAUCAGCCCGGAACCUUAUGGCGGUCCAACCGCCUGUCGGUACUCCAACCGUAUUCCUUUCUGGAGGAUCAACCAAGUUAAACUUAGCAGGAUCUUUUGCGGGAUCGAAGUUCCCGAUUCCGGUCCCAACAACGAAGAAAUUGUAACCAUGAAGGUGGAAUGGAUGGGAUUCAACAGUUAGAAGAUUGGUAUCCUGCAGUACUAACUCUACUGUUGAGUUGAAUGCAAUCUUGCUCAGCCUGGUACCCAAAGUGGUACCAAGAUUUGCAGUCAAUGGUGCGCCGGUGUAGUUGAACUGUUGAGGAGGGCGGUCGGGGAAAUCCGCGGUAUAUACUCCCUUGAUGUUGAGAUAAUGAGCUUGCAGAAGCCCAAUAUGUGGCAUAACAAAGGUAAUGUUGUUCAAGGAUGCAGUGAGUCGUGUUCCGUUCAAGCAGGUUGGACAUGGGUUAAUUCCUAAUCCGAUAGUGUAGAAAAGACGCCUGUCAACUUUAAGAGGCACAUUUGCAGGGUAUAAUGGAGAGUCCAGGCUCCUAAGUUUGGCAUUGUAGCUCAAUGCAAAGGCAGUGUCAUUGGGUAAUGGCAGCUUAGGAAGGAUUGGGAGGACGGUGUUGGGAAUGCCUUCGUAUUGAAGUAUAGCCGUUGCGGUUUUAUUGUCUACCGUCAAUGGUGCGUCCAUAAAAGGCCUAGCAGCCAUUGUUGGAAACGUGAUGGGCCGAAAAUUUACUUUUUAUUACACACUCAAUAUAUUACAAUACGAAGAUUACAAAUAUUUUCUCAAUGACUAGAUAGUCUAGCUGCUGCUAGAUUUUAACUCACUCAAGGUUUGCUAACCUUCUCACUCUCACUCACGUUGCUUCUCUUAUUUCUUUUUUCUUCUCAUUUUUCUUCCUUUACAACACAAGUUCAAGCCUCUAUUUAUAGGCUGAUAAAGUGACAACAAAUGUGGCUAUUAAUCCACUUAAUUUCCAGCCACAAAACAUCUCAAUAAUGGAGCACUUUGUAUGGCUAAAAUUUCAGCACUUUGCAUGGCACAAAAUUGCUCCACGUCUCAUGCUUCUAGAUUAUGCUUGGAGUGGGUUUGAUUUCUAACACUCCCCCUCAAACCCAACUUUCAUACCGAGCUUCUCUUUGAAUUUGUUGAAUGUCUCCACUUUCAACGGCUUUGUGAAAAUAUCUGCCAGUUGAUCUUCUGUCCUGCAAUGGACCAACUCCACGUUUUUGUUUUUCACUUGCUCUCGGAUAAAAUGAUACUUCGUAUCGAUGUGCUUGCUUCGGCUGUGCGACACCGGAUUCUUGGCAAGUGAUAUAGCGGAUUUGUUGUCAACGUAGAUGGUAAUUGGACCUUCAUUUGAAACACCUAUUUCUCCCAAAAUAUUCUUCAACCACAUUGCUUGGCAUGUACAAGUUGCUGCGGCCAUAUACUCUGCUUCACAUGUUGAGAGAGCAAUUGUUUGUUGCUUCUUUGACGACCAUGAAAAAACUGCAGAACUGAUGUGGAAUGCAUAUCCAGAAGUGCUUUUCCGAUCAUCCAAGUCUCCCCCAUAAUCGCUAUCUGAGUAGCCAACUAAUUUUGAAUCUUGUGAGUGGGUAUAGAAUAAACCAUGGUUCAUCGUACCUUUGAUAUAUCUCAAAAUUCUUUUUGCGGCAAUUAAGUGGUCUUGCUUCGGCUUCUCCAUGAAUCUGCUCACCAAUCCUACUGCAUAUGUAAUAUCUGGUCGUGUGAUUGUCAAAUACCUUAAACUUCCAACGAGACUUUUAAACAACGUCGGAUUUAUCGACUCCCUUGUCGAAUCAACACUUAGCUUCAUCCCUGGAUCAGCUGGCGUGACUACUGGCUUGCAAUCCUUCAUUUUGAACUUGUUCAAAAUCUGCUCCGCAUACUUCUUUUGAGAGACAAAAAUUCCAUCUUGCAUUUGUUUCACCUCGACUCCAAGAAAGUAUGACAUCUCACCGAUAUCUGUCAUUUCAAAUUCUUUAGUCAUAGCUUUCUUGAAAUCAUCAGACAUACCUGGAUUGUUUCCGGUGAAGAUCAUGUCAUCCACAUAUAGGCAUACGAUCAUGAUAUCUCCAUAUCCAUUCUUCUUUGUGUACAGGGUGUGCUCGUGCGGGCUUUUGAUGAAUCCAUUUCUUCGGAAGUACUCGUCGAUCCUUGUGUUCCAUGCUCUUGGGGCUUGCUUCAAUCCAUACAAAGCUUUCUUCAAUCGGUAGACUUUGUCCUCCUUUCCUUGUAUGCUAUAUCCAGGUGGUUGUUCUAUGUAGACUUCCUCCUCCAAGUAGCCAUUCAGGAAUGCAGACUUGACGUCCAUCUGAUAGAUUUUCCAUUUGUAUUGUGCUGCGACCGCUAUGAGAAGCCUAAUUGUGUCUAUUCUUGCGACUGGAGCAAAUAUUUCAUCAUAGUCCACUCCUUGUCUUUGCUUGUAGCCUUUGGCGACUAGUCUUGCCUUGUAUUUCUCUACUUUUCCUUCUUUGUUGGUCUUCGUCUUGUACACCCACUUGACACCAAUCGGGCUAUGUCCUUCUGGCAGACUUGUUAGCUCCCACGUGUCAUUCCUUCUUAUUGCAGCAAUCUCCUCGUCCAUGGCCUUCUUCCAUUUAUUGUUUUCAAUUGCUUCUUCGUAUGUCACUGGAUCACAUUCUGUCAUUAGACAGAAUAGUGAAUAAUCGAACUGCGUCUCUACAGGUUCCGUAGAAUUGUAGAUGUCGUUGAGACUCCGUGUUCUUGUGGGUGCUUCAUCUGAGCUGCUGCUUCCGCUGCUGCUGGUUGGUGACGAAGGGGCUGUUGUACCAGGACUUUGAUCAUCGCCUUGUUCUUCUUGGUUAUUGUCGUCUUCGUUGAAAAAUAACCCUUCCACUUUCUUUUCUUCUUCACUCCAUCUCCAGUAAUCCGCUUCAUCGAACUCGACAUCUCUUGAGAUAAUCAAUUUCUUAGUAAGAGGAUUAUAAAGUCUGUAGGCCUUACUUCUUUUGUCAUAGCCUAUAAAGAUACACUUCUCUCCUCUAUCGUCAAGCUUUUUCCUCUGUUGCUCAGGAACGUGUGCAUAUGCAAUGCAUCCAAAAAUUUUGAGGUGUCCAACUCUUGGCUUGUGACCGCUCCAUGCUUCUUCUGGUGUCUUGUGUCUUACACUUUUUGUUGGACAUUGAUUCAACAGAUAAACUGCGCAUUCAACGGCUUCAGCCCAGAAAGUUCUCGGAAGGUGUUUACCUUUUAUCAUGCUUCUUGCCAUAUCCAGAAUUGUCCGAUUCUUCCUUUCUGCAACUCCGUUUUGUUGUGGAGUGCGUCUGGCUGUUAACUGAUGAAUGAUUCCAUGAUCCUUGCAGAAACUUUCAUAAAGCUUUGCAGUAUACUCGCCUCCUCUAUCGGAUCUGAGUAUCUUCAAAUAUCGACCACUCUGUUUUUCCACCAUUGCUUUGAACUCCUUGAAUUUUUCUAGGGCUUCCGAUUUUGCUUUGAGAAAAUAAACCCAACAUUUUCUGCUAUAAUCAUCAAUAAAAGUUAGGUAGUACCUGUUUCCACCGAGUGAUUCAAUGUCGUACGGACCAGAUAUGUCGGUGUGUACAAUUUCCAAUGGUCUUCUAGCUCUUCGAGAUUUUCCUACUUCAAAUUUCUGCCUAUGCUGCUUUCCUUUGACACAGGCUUCACACAGUUGAUCUGGAUGAUUAAUACUUGGUAAUCCAUUCACCAUAUUUGUCUUCGACAACAGCUUCAAGCCAGAAAAUCCGAGAUGUCCGUACCUUAAGUGCCACAACCAUGAUUCAUUCUUCAGAUCCGUCUUCAUGCAUUUUACUUCUCCAGACUCGAUGUCGAGGGUGAAAAGACGAUUUCGCGUCAUAUCAACUCGAACAACUAAUUCUCCACUUUUGUUCCUGAUGGCGAGUGAGCGGUCUUUCAUAUGAACUUCAUAUCCUUUUUCUAGGAGUUGACCAAGACUGAUCAGGUUGCUCUUCAAAGCUGGUACGUAGUAAACGUCUGAGAUGUACUUCUUCUCUCCAUUCCUUUGUGUUAUAACAACCUUGCCAUUUCCUUUGAUUUCUGCAUGUGAGUUGUCUCCAAAAGUUAUUUGUCCAUGAACUGUUUCAUCUAAUUCUGUGAACAGCUCCUUUCUUCCACACAUGUGGUUGCUUGCACCGUUGUCGAGAUACCACACACUUCUCUUGCGAUCUUCAUUUUCUCCGUAAGUGAGAAAGACACUUGAUUCCACUUUUUCGUUGCCUUCUGCUGCGACUGCUACAUGGUUUCUUUCAUCCACUUUGUGUGUUGAUCUGCACUCGUAACUAAAAUGUCCAUACUUGUUACAGUUGUAGCAUUGUACCUGAGAUUUAUUUUCUUGAAAUCUGCCUCGGCCACGACCUCUAGAUCCACGUCCACGGUUGGAUGUUUGAUAAUCUUUAUUUUCUUGAUAUCUCCCAUAUGAUUGAUUUCCACGUCCUCGUGAUCCUCUUCCUCCUCUGUUUCCACCACGGUAGCCUCCACGGUAUCCUCUGCGGUUUCCUCUUCCUUGGUUAAAGUUAUUACUUGUUUCUCCGUCGUCGACGGACAACUUGCUAUGCAAGGCUUGAUCAAGAUUUUCACUAUCUUCAUUUAGCUUCAUCUUUUGCUCAUGGGCUUGCAGAGAACCCACAAGUUCUUCGAGCGACAUCUUUGACAAAUCUUUUGAUUCUUCGAUGGCAACGACUACGUACUCGAAUUUGCGUGUGAGUGACCGUAGAAUUUUCUCCAUCACUCUUACCUCGUCAAGAGUUUCUCCAUUUCGUUUCAUUUCAUUUACCACCGAUUUUACACGAUUGGCAUAGUCAUCGAUAUUCUCGGAGCUCUUCAUUUUUAACAUUUCAAAUUCAGCUCUAAGUGACUGAAGGCGUACCUUUUUAGCUUUUUCUACACCUUGAAAUGAUUUUUGCAAAAUCUCCCAUGCAUUCUUCGCGUUCUUCACAUCUGAUAUUUUCUCGAAGGUUGAUUCAUCCAUUCCUUGAAAGAUACUAUUCAAGGCCUUUUGAUCCUUCUUUCGUGCUUCUCGUAACGCCUUCUUAGCGUCAUUUGAUAAAGCUGCUUCUGUAGCGGCAUCUCCGGGCUCGAUGUAUCCUUUUUCAACGAUCUCCCAACAAUCUUGCGAACCGAGCAAAGCCUUCAUUCGAAUGCUCCAAUUUCCAUAAUUUGUCUUCGUCAAUUGUGGAACUUGUAGCUGAAUUACGUCGCCCAUAUCGACUUGUUAGAUGAACACCAAAGGUACUCCGAACUGGACACGAACCGGACACGAACCGAACUCCGAACCAAGCUCCGAACCGUAGCUCUGAUGCCACUUGUUGGAAACGUGAUGGGCCGAAAAUUUACUUUUUAUUACACACUCAAUAUAUUACAAUACGAAGAUUACAAAUAUUUUCUCAAUGACUAGAUAGUCUAGCUGCUGCUAGAUUUUAACUCACUCAAGGUUUGCUAACCUUCUCACUCUCACUCACGUUGCUUCUCUUAUUUCUUUUUUCUUCUCAUUUUUCUUCCUUUACAACACAAGUUCAAGCCUCUAUUUAUAGGCUGAUAAAGUGACAACAAAUGUGGCUAUUAAUCCACUUAAUUUCCAGCCACAAAACAUCUCAAUAAUGGAGCACUUUGUAUGGCUAAAAUUUCAGCACUUUGCAUGGCACAAAAUUGCUCCACGUCUCAUGCUUCUAGAUUAUGCUUGGAGUGGGUUUGAUUUCUAACAGCCAUGAAAUAUCUACCAGGUGCUUGGUUAGCUUGAACAAGGACAUUUGUGGUCUGCCCUGGUGCAAUUAAAAUUGCUUGUGUGGUAAAUGGUUUGGUAUAAACUGCAUCUAUCUCGACCACUGUCAUAUUAUGGCCUGCGACUGAAAAGAAAAGUUCGUCGUUGAGUGCAGCAUUGAUGAUUCUCAAGAGAUAUGUCUUUCCUUGUUCAACCUCCAUUGCAAAUGUAUCUGCACCAGAAAAAGGAAAGUAAAAUAAGAAAGAAUGCAGGGCCUGCCCUGAAUCCCCUAUUUACUCGCUAAGCUUACGUUUCUCGGAACAUGGGAACAAUGGCCCUGGCUUUCCGUUAAUGGUGUGAGCAUCGGAUGUAGUUGGUGGCAACCCCAACUUGUUCCCUUGUUUCACAACUUCUUCGACAUCGUUAUUCCACCAUUCACCUGCGUUUCGAUUAACAAGAAUUACAUGAAUUGUGUAACUAAAAUGGAGCUCAACUCACCAUUAUGGAUCAAAUCAUCCCAGGAUCAAAUCAUCCCACCUAAAACUAUGUUAGUUUCUCUGUAAGGCUGAGGAAAAGGGAAAGGGGUCCCUUGCUUUGGCAUGAUCACAAUUGCACCAUAAACAGUGGCUCUUAGCCAAAAGAUAUGUGCAUGCCACCAUAGUGUCCCUUUUUGACCUGUUACAUUAAAGUCAUACGUGUAACUAUGCCCGUUCUGUAUAGGGCAUUGUGUUAUAUAAGCUGGUCCAUCUGCCCAUCCAUUGCGAAACUGUUUAAACCCAUGCCUGCCAAUGCCAUGAAACAAUACCCAGCAUUAGUAGACAACGAUUUUGGAAAAAGAAAUAUGACAAAAUGAUGCAUUGCUUACCAAUGAAUUGACAUGUUAUAUUGUGCAUAGUUCGUGACAUUAAUGACAACACUAUCGCCGUCUCUAGCGUAUAUGGUUGGCCCUGGAAACAUCCCAUUCACUGUAACGAUAGGUUUAGCAUGGCAUAACCUGCUAACGUUUUUCACUUGAACCUGAAACAACAUUUCAACAAUCAUAUUCUAAAAGAAAGAAAUGCAGCUAAAAAGUGAAUAUAUACAAACAACAUUGCCACUGAUUUAACUAAAUAUGCCUACAUCGAACUGGUAUCUUUUCACUGCUGCAUCUGCAGGAAGCGAAACCAAGGCAACCGGAUAAAGCAAGAAAAGCAAUAUUGGCCCUGAGCUCAAAAUUUUGCCCAUUGCCAUUUUCCGAGCUUUAAUUCUUAAACUUGUGGUGAGUUAUGGUUUAAUGUGGGGGUUUUUAUAGAGCUUGGAAAUUAAAGGUUAAGCUAUAUAUGCUGUCAUCAGUUUGUUAAAGGUGGUACAUGAAGGCUUGUAAGCAAAAUAUGAGAGGGACUUGAAUGGAAGAUGGUAAGACUAAAACCAGAUGUAAUUGAAUAAAAUAGUUCGAAAUAUAAACAUGAGAGCUACUUAAAACCAAACAUUUUACGCCUGCAUGCCUUCAGCUGGUCAGCUUUUUCGUUAAGGAAAAGUGUCGAAGAUUUGCUUCACAUUCCAGCCGCUGUGGGUUGUUCAAUAUAUAUGUAUAUUUUUUAAAGUAGAUUACACAACACCCAUAUCUCACCUGAAAAAUAUGGUGGAAGAACAAGCUUCCUAUAUACUUGUUUCCAUUGAAUAAACAUAUAUUGUAAGCGAAUGUAUCGUAGCCUAUAAUCGUUAUCUUCUGUUCAAUUUAAGCAAACUCCAUAGCGAAACCUUGGGCUUUGGCUUUAAUUGGUAUUUAUGAGAAACAACAGUGAAUUUAAGUUAGUCUCUUUUUUUUUCCUUACUACUAAUUGCACCAUCGAAAUACAACAUCCAUGGUUAUUCCCCUUCUACAUGUCAUAUUUCUUUAGCAGUUGAAUAUGAUAGGGAAGUUCAAACAUCUGUCAAUUGGUAUAAAAAUUAGACAUUUGAACUUGUUUAGCAAUACUUUUGAAAGCAUUUUAUAGCAAUAAACAAUACUAAAUAAGAUGUGGAUAAGUGAAUGUGCACCAAACUAAAGUCAUCAACCAACCAUUGGUUAUAUUCAUAAGUUUUCUUUAUAACCAAAAUAAAGCUGAAAUAAUCAAAAGUAGAUUUAAAAAAAACAACAGAUAAAAAAAAAAAAAAAAACCUGCAGCCGCAGAUUCUAUCACCAGUCAGCUCCUCCAGCUUCUAUAUCAACUCUCCUUUUUGUUCAAAACAAAUGUCAAUUUUCACUACCUGGGAUGAGGUAGCGAAUUAUUGCGCAAAGCUAUCUCACUAUAUCUAAGCUGCUGGAUAACUCGAGUCGAAUUUUUUCUGCAUGCUUGACUACUUCAUCAAAGAUCAGCUGGCCUUGGUCAAAAUCAACCAUCUUGACAACCUUUUUGAUUAGCACUGCAGCUUUCUUAUUCACUAGCCGAUUCCUUGUGGUAAUGCCAAACAAUACUGCAUAGAUUGUGGUAAGGGAUAAGGCUCGGAUCCUGUCAUGUUAUUGUUUUGAAUAUCGUUUCGAGAAGUGCUCCUUGUUCAAUAGUAGGAGCAGUACACUAUUGGAAAAAUAACUCGAUUCAUAAUUGUUGUUUUAAUUUAUUUUACACCAAAAAAUUCGUGUAGUUUGAUUGGAUGUAAUUGGCAGAUGUCUAAGGGAAUUAGCAAUCUAGUAGAUUUGAGUUGGGUUCUUAUUCGUAAGACUAUCGAAGAAUUAAAUCGUGAAAGUUGAUCUCAAGAUUAUUUAUUUGGUCAUGGUUAACUAGCGAGUUGUUCCUGUAAUUAAUUUAUCACUAUAAAAAAAUUGGAGGUUUGAGGCGAUUCGUCGACCGCUAUAACUGACUUAUCAUCAAGUGUAUCUUAACCACUAUAAUUGACUUAUCAUCAAGUAGAGUAAGAUCCAUAAUCCAUAAUCAAAUCAAAAUAAAAACUGAAACUAAAGUCGGGUCAAAGGCUAGAGUUUUCAUUCUAUUGGUUAAAUAUAAUUUUAUUUUGAAGUUUAUUGUAUUUUUUUAAAAUUUUUAUUUCAAAUACCGUUUUGGUCAUUGUCAAUUUUGAAAAUAAACAAAUUGGUCUUUCUCUCAAUAAAAAUUACAAAAGAAAAGUUCAAAAUAAUUUUUAAAAUUUCAAAACAAUUUUUAAAUAUUUAUAAAAAUUCAAAAUUUAUAUUUUUUUAAAAAUUAUAAAAUUAAAAAAAUUCUAAAUAAUAUAUAAAGAAAGUUAACAAUUUAGAAAUAUUCUAAAAUAAUAAUUUUUGGGACUUAAAUAAGUUAAUUAAUAAUUCAAGUUUAUAAUAUUAAAGUAUAUUUUUUUCUUAUUUUGCUUUGAAAAAGUUUUUAAAUAUAUAUGGUUUUAAUUUUAUGUGUCCUAACAUAGAAUUAGUUAUACUGUAACAAGACAAUUUUACUCGAUUUUGGAUUUUAUUUCACACAACUAGAUUUGAAAAAAAUUUCAAGUUGAGUUAGGAUGAUAAAAUAGAACUAGCCAACUUGAUUAACUCGAAACUUUUUCACUUAAUUCAAUCAAACGCUCAUCUCUAAUUACUCUGAAAAAAAUAUAUAUUUUAGAUAUUGGCGGUGGUUGUGUUUUAAUAUUCUAGGCCAUGGACCUAAUUCAACAACUUUUACUAAGUUUAGAAUACAUUAUACUUUUUGCUUGUAAUUUAAAAAAAAAAACCUUAAAGAAAAAAAAUGAAAAUAUCAAUUGAGCUCUUGUACUAAAUUUAUAAGCAAUUAGGCCUUUAUGGUUAACUAAAAUAAUAAAUUAAGUCCCUUUAUUAGCAAUUUUCGUCUUUGAUCAUGUUGAUCUUAAAAAUUAAUUGACGAAUCAAUCAGAUAAUGACACGUAGCAGCUUCUAGUUUAAUUUUAUAUUUUCUCAUAAAAAAUAUUAAAAAUAUUAAAAAAUUAAAAAUAUAUUGAAAUAUUAUAAGAAAACAUAAAAAGGUAUAAAAUUUAUAAAACUAAUAAAAAAUAUUUAAAAUUUAUUAAAAAAACUAAUAAAAAUUCAUAAAAACUUAUAAGUAUUAUAAAAAAUAUAAAAUAUAAUAAGUUCUAAUAAUUAUAAAAUAUAUUUUUAAUAAAAUUAUAAAAUAAAAAAUUUAUAAUAAUUCAUUUACUAGUUCUUCAUUUUGGAAAUUAAAUCCCUAAAAUCAAAAUGAAUACGUGACAUUAAACCAACCUAUGGAUAAUGAGAAUAAUCAUUAGAACCAAUGUUGUUUGAAUUGGAUCAGAUUAGUCGAUUGGACCAAAAUUGGAAAAGAUACCGAUCCGGAAAAAGCCAUUAGACUGGUUGACCCAGAAAAUAAUUUUCAACUUUUCAAGGUCUAAACUAUGUAUUUAAAAAAUUAAAGAUAAAAAUUUAAAAAAAAAUCAUUUAUCAAUAAAAAAAGAGGGUCUCAUAAUUACAGUUUUAUUUUUAGAAUAUCAAGAAUAUUUUAUUUAACAUGAAAAUGACCCUAACAAUUUGACAAUUAUUUUCAUUAUACAAUGGUUGGUUCAAUAUCAUUUUUUCAUUAUAAUUUUAAGGGUUUCAAUGACUUUUUUUUAUAUUUUUAGAAUUUUUAUAUUCUUCAUAAGUUUUUAUUAACUUCUAUAAGUUUUUAUAAAAUUUUAAAUAUAUGUUACUAAUUUUAUAACUUUUUUUAUAAUUCAUUAGAUUUUUUUUAUAAAUUUUUUUGUUUUUUUAAUUAUUUUUUAUAAAUUUAUAUCCAUUUUAUUAUUUUUAAUUUAAAUAAAUUUUAUACUUUUUUCUUAUUUUUUUAUAAGAAAAUAUAAGACUGAACUAAAAGGUGUCAUGUGUCACCAUUUUAUUGGUUUGUCAUCAAAUUUUAACGGUCAAUGUUGUCAAAGACAAAAACUGUUAACGGAAGGGCUUAAUUGAUUUUUUUGAUUAAUGGAGUUUAAUUUAGUGCAAAUUUAGUGUAGGGGUUCAAUUGAUUUUUUUUCUUUUUUUAAGAGCUUUUUUAACCUAUAAACUUUUUUUUUGUAUAUUAUGUAUUCUUUUAAUUAAUAUAUUGUGUAACUUUUAUAUCAUAUAAAAUUAAAUAUAUUAAAUUAUAAUGUAAAUAUUAAUAUAUAUUAAUUUUUAUUUUAAAAAAAUAUAUAAAACUAGAAAAUAUUGAAUACAGCUAAUGUAUUUAUAAAAAUAAAAAUAUAGAUGGACCUAAACAAUUUGGGUUUGCCAUUUACAAAAAUAUAGGUGGAUUUAAGUAAAAUUUGAAUCUCAUAUUUUAAAUCGAGACGGACUUAAACAAUUGUGUAACAUGUUAAUAUCAUACAUGCGCCUAGCUCGAAUCAAACCCAAUAUAAGCCAUAAAUAUCUUUAAUGAAUAUGACACAUCAACAUGCAUGAUGAAUUUUAUCGUAUUUGAUAAUGUUAAAUAAUAAUGAAUAAAUAGCUUCCAUAACACCACAUUGCAGCAACAUAUAUGAUCCAAAAUACUCCAGCAAAUGAAAUUCUUUGGCAGGAUGAUUACCUGAUACUUCUCUUUGUAAAGCCUAGCAACCGUUGCAUGGGCAAGAAGAAGGUUGUGGGCAACAAUAUAAUAAGGUUCUAUUGAUGAGUUACCAUUUAGACAUUGUUUUCUAUCUGAACAUCUACCUGGUGGAGAAUUUCCAAUAGUGGUUCAUUGAUUGUAAACCAGUGUUUAACUCGAUCUCCGAAUGUUUUGAACCAUAUUUCAGCAUAAUCUUUGAAAUCAUUAAAAUCCUGAAAGUAGAAAUAAAAAAUCAAUGAGUGUUUGUGUUUAUAGACAAGAUUAUGCCUAUUUAUGGUAUAGCGCCUACAUACGUUUGCUCACGUUUGAUACGCAUAAAUAUUUUUGUUUAAAUUUGCUCAUAUUUAUAAAUAUUUAAGUUAAACCCAUUUUAGAUUAUUCAUAUUAUUUUAAAUUUUAUAAUUAUUCUAUUUUAUUUAAUAUUUAACAUAUAUAUUUAUUUAAAUUUUAAACAUAGACAACUUAAACAUUUGUUGUUUUUACAUUAGAUUAUUAUGUAUUUAAUUUUAUGUGAUAAACAUUAAAUAAUAUAUAAAAAUAAAAUAAUAUAUUAUAUUAUAAAAAUAGGAAGUGAGCCGGGUCAAGUUUAAACAUUGAAUGUUGGAUGCCAAGCUCGAACUAUAUUUUAAACAAACCUUUUUUUUUUACCUAAUUGUGCAAGUGGCUACUCUUCAACAAGUCUAUUUAUAAUAUAAUUAUAAACAAUUUAUUUAAAAAAAUUAUAUAUCUACACUAUUAAUAAAAUCCCUCCCUCUGAGUUAGUGUUUUGAGUCAAUCGUGCACCAACUAGAUUAGUGAAAUUACAAAAAUGCAUUUCUAUAAUUAAAAUAACUCAUAUUAGUCGAGAUUAUUCAUUUUAACAAAAACCAAUAGAAGAACCAAUAUUAAUAAAUAUUGAAUAAUUAUUGGGUAAAAUCCUAGUCCAGGGAAUGGAAAAUCUAUAAGCAUAUCUACUCCCAGAUGCCUUAAAACCAACACAUCUUCCUGCAAAUGCAUGCAUUUAUACCAAUUAUAUUAAUAACCUAUUGAAGCCUUAUAUUUCAUUUCGCAUUUGAGUUCUUUAAAAUGGAAUUUUUUUUUAUAAUUUAUAAAAUUUUAAAUUAAUAAUCAUAAAAUUAUAGUUUAAUUUCUAAAAAUACUAAAAUUUUAAUUUAAUCUUUAAAAAAUAUAAAAAUAUAAAUUAUUAAAAUAUAUAUAUAUUUUAAUUCCGCCUCAAAAAUUUUUUAAUUUCACCCUUGCUCCGCUCCCCCUAAACCAUAUUUUUGGAUCCGCGGAGAUUGUGUUUGGUAUGGUUUUAUUCAAUUUUUUUUUAUAUUUUAAAAUAUUAUACUUUAUAUUCUUGUUCAUGUAUAGUUAUUUACUUUGGAUAAUAAAUAUAUAUAUGUCUUAGAAAAAAAUCCUAGAUAAAAUGAAAAAUUAAAAUAUUAAAAAGUGUUAUAUAUCUUUAUAGUUAUAAUUAAAUUUAAAUAUUUUUUUAAAAUAUGAAUUCAAGUUGAAAUGUUACCUUAUAGCGGUUGUACAAAUCAAUUGCUACUUCCAAAGAACAAUUGUCCACUAUUUUAUCUGCAUGAGAAAAAUUAAUAAAAAAAUUAAAUAUAAAAAAUCCUAAUUAAUUCGUUAAUAGUGGUACUAUUAGAUGCUAACCUGGCAAUGUCCGAAUAAAUUGAUCCCACACAGUAGGCCCUUUUCCUUUAGAUUUUUCUGAUCCUUCAAUCUGCAUUCAAUUUAAUUAAUGAACCCAACUACGUUGGCAUCGAAUUGAGUUAGUCAUGAGUUUGAUCGAGUCAAAAUAUAACUGCAUUGAGUCUACUCGAAGAAAAAAAAAACGACCUACGCAACACGAGAUUUAGGUCACCUGAGCAGCAGCAGUUUAAGCUCCGAAAACAAAAUCAGCUCGAAAAUCAGAUCUCUUCACAUUAACGAAAGAUUCUUCAGAGUCUGACGAAGGUUCUCCAAUCCAUUUUUGAGGCUUUUGAGUUACUGCAAAUGCGAAAGUUAAAAAACGUAAACAACUACAAACGAAAACCAUGAGGAAAAUAAAAAGCAAUUAAGAAGAUGAACGAACUUUCGCCAUGAACAGACAAGCAAACAAGUAAAGCAAAGGCAAAGGUCAAAAUGUGGCGAGAAUUCCCAGGUGAUGCAAUUGAAAACGAAAACAGUUUUUUUUUAAUGAUAUGUUUCGUUACGGUAGUGACAAUCCAUGCAUUUUAUAGAAAAAAAAAUCAGUUUUUAGCGAAUAGUCAAUAGCCUGUAAAAGUAAAAUAGGAGUUACUUUUUUUAUUUAAAAUGUGAACAAAAUAGUUGUUGAUCAAAAGUAAAAUAAUCUUUCUGUUACAAAUUUUAUCUAUUUUUAUUGUACAUAUAGGUCAAUAUGAAGUAUCACAUUAAUCUAAUUUUUAAUAUAAGGUUCUCUAUGAUACUUUUAUAGUUUUUAUGUUUGAUGUCAAUUUCUUUUCCUAAAUUGUUACUAAACUUGUUAUUUGGUGUUACUCUUUAUAAAAUGAAAAUAACUGAAUCCUCAUGAACAAGGGCGAAACUAGGGUAGCAGGCCCGACCCCUUAAAAUAAAAAAAUUGUCAUUUAAGUCUUUUGAAAUUUUUAAAAUUUUAAAUUAGAAGAGAUAAAAUUAUACUUUAACCUCUUAAAAAUAUAAUUUUAUUAUCGUAAAAAUUAUAAUUUAAUUUUGACAUUUGGCUUCGCCCUGCUCGUGACCCCAUUCCAGAUGCCCCAAUUGAAAAGUCCUUUUUAUCAACCUGUUCUUCCCCAGCAGCAAAAGGGCUGGGUAAAUUCAGAUAAUGUGUCUGAAAAUGCAGCAUUAACAUAAGCAUGGAUGGAAUGUGCCAACUGAAUUAAGUUUAGGGCUCUAAUUCCUCGUCCAUAGUCAGACGAUGUUUCUUGGGAUUCUUGUGCAACAGCGUAAAGACAAGAUCUGGACUUUCAUUUACAUGUUGUACUGAAUAUGUGGGAUUUUUUUUAUUUUUUUUUGCUUUUUAAUUCCUUGGAAUUGCUUUAUGUGAAAGGAUAGAAAGGAAAAGGGGGGGGGGGGGAACCUGCACAGAAAAGAAAAUGGACCCAAGGAAAAGGAAAAGGCAAUAUCAUCUUUCACAAUCAACACAAAACAAAGAGAAUCAAAGAAAUCUUGCCUGCGGAUGAGGCCAGGUCCACCCCUUUCACCAUUACUUAAUGGCUUGAAAAUGACCCAAAGUUAAGGCUCUUGUGACUCCAAGAACAACAAGUAGUUGCAAUGAAGGUGCAGGCAGGCAGGCAACCCCUUCAGUGGUCCCUGCUUGAGCCGCAACCUAUUCUGGACUAGUAGUUUUUUUGGGUAUAUGAUUUUGAGCCAUGGAGAAACCAUUCUAUGUAGCUAAAUAAAAAAAGGGAUGAUUGCCCUUUGGUAUCUCUGUGCCUGUGUGUGCAUACAGCUUUUGCUUCUCAUUUAUAUGUAGUCAUAUGCACUAAUUAUCUGUGUCUCAAUCACCAUAGAUGGUCCACUUGUAGGUUUCAUGUCCUCUGCUUCAAGUUGUCACUCAGGUUUAAUCCCAACAAAGGAACAAUUUGUGCCAGUGGAUUCAACCUAUGCAUUCCCUUCAGAACAUUACAAUAUUUGUGGUGCUUAUUGCAUAGUCUAGUCUAGUUUGAUUUGGCAAUUAAACUAGUUUCCCUUUUAAUGGUAGAAAUGAGGCACUGAAAAUGUGAUCGUUGAACAUGUCAACUCAAACUACACUGUUCUUUCCUUGCAUUUAUCUAUAUAUCAGCCUCUUUUACCCUACCUGCUCUUGACAUUUAUGGUCCCCUCCUACAUCCCAUCAUACAAGUUGAAGAAGAGAAAGCUUUGAAGUUAAUUAGUAUUGAUCUUAUUCAUACUAUUUGAGAGUAUACAUACAAAUAUUUUUAUAUAUACCAUAUGUACCUAAUUAAGCGAAAAAGAAUCAGGAUCAAAGGUAUCUUGAAUUAUCUCAAUCAUCGAUAAAUCGUUGACAAAUAUACUGAUUCAUAUCUCCUUCAGAUCACUUGCUUCAAUGGAACCUGCAUAGACCACAUUAGGCUAAUCAGAAAGCUUUACCCAAGGCACCACCAGUUUUGCGCUUUUUUUUUUCAAGUCAUUGGGGGUUACUGCAGAUGCAAUAAUCAAAGGAAAUAUAGUGCUAUCAUUGAAUAAAAUCUAAGGUUUCUGAUAAUUGUUGGGCGGGUGAAAAUGACAGAAAGCUUCCUUUAAAGUAACUUUCUUGAAUUAAAGCACGUAAUGGGACACUGUUCUUCCUUAGCAGUCAUUAAAAAAACUGUGGGGUUCUCUUAUGUCUCUAUCAGCAUUAGUUAAAACCCAUUUUUCUGCCUUGGAAAAAUGAUCAAAAAGCAAGAAAGACAACAUUAAAAAAGACAUAUUAGCUUUAUGCACCUGCAAAUGGUUGAGAUGGAAAGGGUGGUGUUGAUCUCCCCUGGUCAAAUGCCACAUUAUAAAGGUUUUGCAACUCAACAUCCCAUGUUGCAGUGGGUUGAAUUUGCUGCAUUGCAGAGCAUUGAUGCAUAGUGAGACAGGACGAGUCUAGAAAUGAUGCAUCUGGGAUCGAUACAGGGGCGCUGAUCGUUCUCCGGAGUGUCAUAUCGGGAGAGUUUAUCCCCAUUUCCACACCACAACAAGGAACCACUUGUUGAAUUGGAUUAAACUGAAGAUAAGGAGGGUUAGCCAUUUCCGGUGCCAUCCCAAGCGUUGGAAAAUUAGUGGUACAAGAGGAAAACACCUCUUUGGCAUAAAGAUUGUCAAUGUUAAAGUCUAGCCUGGGAUUUACAGUCGCUAGUUUCAUAGACAGAAACUGCAGAUUAUGAGCAUAAAAGGACCCAAAUUAGCUGAUAGUUCAUUAAUAUUCAUGAAAAUACACAAAUCCAUAUGUUCUUUCUCCAUUAUUUUUUUACCUCUACUUGCCGUUGAAGAGAUUGAACAUAAUUGAUGAUUUCAUCAAGCAUACCAGCUUUGCCUGUGAUUUUGUUACAUCCUGGUACUAAAUCUUGCAGAUACUUCAUUCUUUCACUGAUUUUCUCCCUUCUAACCUAUAUAAAUCAACAUAAUUAAAACAUGAUUAUCUAAUGAAAGAGACCUGAUAAAAUAAGAAAACAAAUCGGUAAUAAUCCCAUCCAUAUUACCGAGUAACACGCCAACAACAACAAAAAAAAACAUGCAAAUUCAUACUCACUCUCUCAGCUAAACUGUGGCUAUCAGUGGCUUGACCACGACGUGCCCGGACGUGGAUAAAAUCAGGCUUUUGAACCUCAGAAACCUUUGAAUUCUCCUUAGAAGCAUCACCAGAAGCUUCCUUCUUGUUGUUACUGCUUUUGUUGGUGUUUGGCCCUGUAAUUUUCGACUCUUCACCUUCAUCUUCACAGGAUUUGAUCCUCUUGGACUCAUUUUCUGCAACAACCUGUAUAUAUAAUCAAAAAGUGAAAGAAAUGGUGAAAUACCCAUAAAUCUAUAUACCUUGGCAUGGUGUAUUGAUGGUAAUAAUGAUAAUAUAAUAAAUGAAGCAAUAGGCAACACACAUACCUUAGUGUUUUGCAACUUUUCAGCUUUCCUUUUCUUGAAGCUUUCUUUACCAACAGCUGAAGCCAUCUUCUCAGAGUUAACCUUGACCUCCACCGCUUUGGUCGCCGCCACAGCUGGCGGGCAGCUAGAAGUCCUGGAAAUGGCGUGAUUCAUGUCAAAACUAGGGCCAUUACCGUAUCCACAUGGGCCAAACCCCAUGGCAGCCAUGUCAACCUUCCCCAACUCAGGCCAGGGACUCUCCAAACCAGGGUCAGGCUUCACUUGCCGAGCCAUAACCAUGUCCGAUAACACCGAGUCACCACUGGCACCGCCCAUGAAACCACCCUGAAAGCCUUGUACGUGGUUGGUUUGGCUCGAAAACACCCCACAACUUAACUCACUGAAAUAGCUUUGCUGUUGUUGUUGUUGCUGAAACUGUUCCUCUUGCCAUUUCAAGCGAUCCCUUUGCCUCUCGAGCACCGUCAAGUCCGAACAUUGUAACAUCUCCGGCAAUGCUGUGUUCAUGUCUCAAGCCCUCAAAAAUUAAAACUAUCAAAAACAAAACAAAGCACAACUAAACAAACCAAACAACAAAAGCUUGUAGUAAUAUAAACAAGUUUAGGCAGGUUUGCUAUAUGACUUCAUGCCUAACACGAGUUCAUCGUGAGGGGGUUAGUACCAUAUACCAUAUACCAUAUACCAUAUAUCACAAGCAUAUAUGAUCUUAUAAUUCCUUCUUUUAUCCGAGGGAAUUUUUGGUACUUUGGAAGAAAGAAAUUGAGGGAAAAGAGAGUUUUUAGGGGCAAAGAGGAGAGGGAGGUGGGGUAUAUAUAAAGGGUAAUAAAGGUGUUUAACAAUGAAAUUAUUAGGUGAUGCAGGCCAUGGCUGUUUGACCUAUUAUCCAACCUCAAACUUUCUAAAAACAUACAAUUUGAUCACAUAUUUAUUCAUAAAAUUUUCUCUUUAAAAUUUUCCAUUAAUGAAUUAGGUCACAAAUUUAUCAAUAAUAGAUGGAGUUUACGAAGAGUAUAUGGCAAUAUUUUGUAUCAUAAUUUUUAGGUUUAAUUCUUUUUUCGGUAUUUACACUCUUUGAAACUUCUACUUUCAUUAUAAAAAAUUUAAUUUAUUUAUUUAUUUGAACUGAAAAUUAAAGUUUAAUUGAUAAUAUUAUUAAUAGAAUCGAUUGUAUUAACAAUGAAUUCUUUAAUUUUUUUUUAAAUUAAACAAGUAGAGAAACUAAAUUAUUAAAAUAGAUUAACAUUUUUUUCCUAUAAUUGUGAUUCAAACUCAAGUUGUAUUUGAAGAAGAUAAACACUCAAUCAAUAGAAUAAAUAGGAACUAAGUUUUAAAAAUUCAAAGAUUACAGGUAAUGAGCAGUGACAGAGCCAAAGGGGGGCGGAAGGGCCUUGGCCCCUAAAAUAGAAAUUUUUUUAUUUAGGCCAUUUAUAUUUUAUAAAAUUUUAAAUUAAUAAUAGUAAAACUACACUUUGAUCCCUAAAAUAAUAAAAAUUUGAUUAUAAAUAUAUAAACUAUUAAAAUGAUAAAAUUAUAUUUUUACUAUUGUAAAAAUAUACAAUUUAAUUCCGGCAAAAAAAAUUUCUGACUCUGCUGAGAAUAAUUAAAUCUAUUUUAUAUAAUAUUUUAAGUUCUGCUAUCAACUUUAAGAAUGUAUUAAUCAGUAGCAAUCCAUUCUAAUAUUCCAUGGAGAAAUUUAAUGGAUAAGUAAACAAUAAUCAUUUUCUUACCAAUUGCAUUAUUAAUCGGUACCAAUUCAUUUUUAUCAAAUUCUUUUUUGUUGGACUAAAUUUUUGGAAAAUAGAUUAAAUGUUUUUGAAAAUUUUAAUUUUUUUUAAUACUUAAAUGAUUUUGUGCAAAAUAUUUUUCAUUUAAGUAUUAAAAAAAAUAUUUUAUUUUUUUCUUAAACCAUUUUUAGGUUGUUUUCAGUAAAUAAAAUAAAAUAUAAAUUAUAUUUGUUACAGAAUAAAAAUUAUCCUUUAACAAUUAAAAUUUAUUUUAUAAUAACUAAUUAUUUUAUAUAGACUUAUUAAUAAUAAAUACCUAAUUAAAAAAUAAAUUUUAAAUUAUAUGUAUGAGAGUGGAUAGUCACACAUGAGAGCUGAAAGAGAUAAAUGGUGGCUCGGCCCAUAAGCAGGUUUACUUAUUACAAGGUCAUUGGACAAACAUUUAUUAAGUAGUUUUCGUAAUGAUAUAUAAUAAGAGAGAACUCAAUCACAAUACUUAAGUAGAAUAAUUAUUUGAGCCCUAAUUAUAUAUGUCCAAUUAGUCUCUCCACUAGCUUAAGAUAAUAAAAAAUGAAUUGCAUGUAAAAACAAUGAAUCUAAAUUAAUGGAAAUGAUGAAGUAAGAGAAAUAGAUCACAUGUAUCACUAUCUGCAGUGGAUGUGUUUUCUCGUUAAGUACAGAAUUGACUAGAGAAUUAAUUUAAAAUUUUUUGAAUUAUUAUUUAAUUAAUUUUAAUUAAAUAAUUAAAGUUUGAAGAUUAUUUAAAUAUAUUUCUAUGUAGGUUCUAUUAUAGUAAAGUUAUAAAUUAUUUUAACGGAAUUAGAAUUAGAUUAAGAAAAUUAUUUAAUUGAGAAAUUAAUUAGUUAAUUAAAUUAAUUUAUUAAAUAAUAUUUAUUUUUUGAAAUAGAAAAUAGAUAUUAGAUUGAAUUAAAUUAUAAAGUGCUAAGUUAAAAGUUCAGAAAGCACAUAUAAUUAGACUCAAUACAUGAUAAAUCUAAUUAGCUCUCAUAUGUACAUGAGGGGCAGCAAUCCUAGCAAAAAAUACAAGGGUGUGCCGCCCUCCUACUCGAGUUAGAAUAGGAUUGUAUUUUCUAUUUAAAUAAUAUUAUUCAGUUAGUACUUAUUCAUCGAGAACUCUUGCACUUCUCCCUAACAAUAGAAAGCACCAAUUGAGUCAUUAACAAAACAAUUCAUAUAUCGUCAUUCUUCCUGAUAGUAGUGCUAAUUUAUUUACAUAGAAUAAAUUAUAUUUUCUAAGAAUUAUGAAUUUUAUCUCUUUAUAGAGAGAAUUUACUUUCUUAUUGAAAGUAAGCAAAUAGUUUCUUUUCUAUGAUUUGGUUUGUGUUGCUCAAGCCUACAAUCGACGCAAUUCGUGGUUAAAGAAUAGGAGAGAAGCCUGUUCGGUUGAAAGCUAAGAUCGACUUGAGUCUAUCUCGUAAAAAGCACAAGUAUAUCUCGGUUUAGGUUUAUUACUAUAAAUAACACAACAACUCGAUUUAAAAAAAAUUUUAACUUACACUAUAAUUAAAUAACUAUUUUCUUGAUCCAUUUUUUCCAGCAGUAUCUUCGUUGUUAAUCGAUAAGAUAACCGCUAUGGAAGAGCAACUCUACAAUAUGAUAUGGUUGGAAACACCAUCACCAUUGCCAGAUCAGUGGAAACUGGAUCUAACGUUCAAAGUAAACUAUUACUUGUUGGAUCUCUCCUACUGAAAAUGUUGGAUAUUCACAUUCCCCAUUGCACCCUACUCACUCGGGAUACCAAAUGGCUUCAUGACCUCAAAGGUAUGAUCUUAGUCCAUGGAAGAUACAGUAAAAAACUUAAUGCAGGGAUACACUUCUCAUAUGAACAAGGACAUCACCACAUAGCUUCCACAGGCACUUCACUAGGCACAGCUCGCAACUAAGAUCCAAUUAUUAUCUACAAAGCCUUAAGUAAUUAUUGUUUUUGUUUUUUAUAUGUACCAAAAAAAAAAAAAUUGGUCACUUAUGAGGGAGAUAUUCUCUUUAAUUUGUCUUAGGGUUUUUAAAAGAGGAAGACAUAUUUAUAACGAAAAGCUUUUCUCUAACCGGUAUGAUAAUAUAUUUAGUUCUCAAUACUUACAUAUUAUCCCAAUUUUAAAUAAUUUAAUGAAUUUAACCAUUUAUAUUUACAAAUUCUAUCAAUUUAAUUCUUAAACUUCUUGACCAAAGCUUUCAGCUUUUAAAAUAGAGACAUUUGACAUCAAUAAAUUUGUAAAACCCAAAAAGAAAGAAAAAAAAAACCUAUCUCAACUAUUGAGUUAUUUUCCGAGCAAAUUCUUGGUACCGCUGAGUUUAUCUUGAAACUUUUUUUUCUUUUUUUAUUAGUUUUCUUCUAAACAUAAUAUUUUAUAACCCUUUGAUUGAUAAAAUUUUGGCUAAAGAAAAUGGAAAAACCUUGAAGAAAAUAUUUUAUAUUUACUUUUUGUUGUUAACAGUAUGAUAUUUCCUUCAAGGUACAUAGAAAUAGUCCUCGAAGCUGGUCCUUGAAAUUGGAAAUUAAAUUUGGAGUUAAAAAAUAUGGCUUUGAAAAAUCCAAAAAUUCAAUUGUUCAAUUAAUAAUUAUAUACGAAAAAUUAUGAACAUUUAACUUUCCAAGAAAAAUAUGUGAAAAAAUUAAGUGAAUUUCCUUUUGUUACAUUGAUAAUGAUUUUUUUAAUUUUAUAAACUGGUUAAGAGAUUAUUAUGUGUUUUAUUUAGUGUCAUUAAUAAUCUGAUUUAGUGUCAAUUCAUUUAACAAGUUAAUUAAAAACUAAAAUCAUGCUAGUGAGAGUGAUAAUUUUUUUAAAUAUUUUUAAAUUUUGAUUUUCUAUUAUUUUUAAUGAUGUUUAGUUAAUUUCUAACACUAAUUUCUUAAAAAUAUAAACAAAAAGGGUUAUGUAUCGAAUUGAAUAAUUUCAACUACAAAUAAAACAAUUAAUAGAUGUGGAAUGUUUCUGUUUUAAUAAUUGAAAAGUUCUUGCUAGAAAGUUUGAGGAUCAAAUUGAUAUAAUUUAUAAAUAUAAAGGGUUAAAUUUAUUGAAUUAUUUAGAAUUAUGAUCAAAUUGAAUGAAUAUGUAAGUAUUGAGGACGAAAUAUGUUAUUAUACCAGCGAGAAAAAGGCUUUUUGUUAUCAAUUUAACGGCAGGUGACCAAAACCGGAAUGAAUUCAAACGUAAGUGCCUAAAAUAUUUUUUUUUUUAAAUUGGGUGACUAAAAUAAGACCACGAUAUAAUUGGAUAACCAUUUGUAUAGUUUACUUAUUAGAAGUUCUUAAAUUUUUCACUAAUUUAAAGGUUAUACAUAUAGUGCUUUGAUAAUUAACGCAAAUGAGAGUUUUUUUUAAACAAUCUCAUUAUAGGUUCUAAUCAUAUCUAUUCUAUUUGACACUGUUAAAAGUAACGUCGAUAAUGGUAAUAUAGAACGAUCGCAAACUAAAUGGUACAAGAGGAGUUUCGACUACAUCUAUUUAAAUAUUGAAAAACCUUAUUCUAAUCCAUGUCAAAUAAACGAAGUAUAGUUCUAUACGGAUUUUACUUGUGCCACAUGAUCCACAAAUCCCCUAGUUUUACCACUGUAUUAUUUCUUUAACAGGAAUUUGGGUCACACAACUCUAAUAGACACAAUGCCUAGAAUUACCCAAAGCCCCUCAUCAACCCAUAAAUAGGAGGAUAAUGUGUUUUAACGCACUCGAACCCGCGUCCUCCUGCAUUAACAAUAAUACCCAUACCAGUCGAACUAAAACUCAAUCGGCCAAAUGAAAUUAUUAAAAACAUAAGAUCUUUUUGGGCACAAAAUCAUAUUUUAUGUUUUAAAAUGCAUUGUUCAUAAUGGACUAAUUUGAGUUAAAAGACAAGUUGAAGUACAGUAUUGCUAUUUUUUCUUCACUAGCUAUGACUCAUAAAUGAUGAUAUUGAGAUGUAUACAUUUAUAGAGACUAAAAUAAAUAAUAGUUAAAAAUGUAUGGAUAAUUUAUUAUAAUUCAAGAAAUUCCGUUGCCGUAACUGCAUCAGAAAUUUAGGUUGAUUUUUCCACGGAAUGCCGUAUUUUACUAUAUUUAGUUAAAGUAAUCAUUUAUAAUAAAUAAAAUAUUUAACACCUAAUUCGAUAAGCUAUACUCAAAACAUAUUUUAUUUAGGCUUUUAUAUAUAUAUAUAUAUAUAUAUAUAUAUAUAUAUAUUACUAAUAAGUAGUCAGGUGUAAUGAUAAAGCACAUCGCACUCUCAAGAAAAGAAUGCAUGUUUAAAUAUUAAAAAUAAUAUUGUAAGAAGGGACAACUAAAACUCUUGAAUAUAAACCGUAAAAUAGACAUGAAGAAUAAAAAAAUGGUAAUUGUUGAAAACAAGUACCAAAUUUCAGCAUAUUUGAUAAAGAUUGAGAUCUUGAGAUUAUCGCUGUUCAAGUUUGAAUCACAUAAUGUGCAAAUGAAAGGCUAAGUCUCAUUAUAUGUAGGUCCUAAUUUGAAUAUAUUAUAGUUUUCAAUUCAUUGUGCUUUGGUCCGGAUAUAUUCUGGCUUUCAGUCAGGCUUAACCAUGGGGGUAGUCUAGGAGUGUGGCCGCCCAAGACUCAGGGUUGGAAGGAGCCCAAAAUUUUUUUUCUUCAACUAUUGAACGUGGAAAAAAAAUCUUCAGCUUUUAAGUUUCUGAUCGAGGCAAGAAAAAAAAAGAAAAAGAAAAAGGGCUCAAUUUUUUUUAUCGUAUUACAUUUUAUAAUUUUUUUAAAAGGGCCCCAAUUUAUUGUUUCGCCUAUAACCCCAAAAAUGGCAAGAAGGAGCCUGCUUUUAAUCCAUUAUGUUUUGUAUUUAGUCAAUUAUUUCUAAAUACCAAAUAUAUAUUAUUUGUAACUUCUACUUGUACAUAUAAUUACACUUGUAUACUCCUUAAAAUAAAUAAAGAUGGAAUAUAAUUAUAGUGUUUAAUAAUAGUAAAUUUGGAUAUAAUUUAAUUUUCAUUUUCAUUAUCUAUUUUACGAAACUUGAGAAGUUAGUCCAUCUGUUUUAAUCUGUCAUAAUUUGGCAUCUUACUCAGUUACUCUACAAUAAGCUAAGAAUUUAGUCAAGUUGUUAGUAAAUAGAUAAUUUUGAACUACUAUUUUUUCCAAAUUUUCUAGUUCUCAUAAUCUACAAAGCGAUUAACAAGUUAAAGUAAAGCGAUUAACUUUUCAAUUUUUAAUACAGCAUGGAGAUAGAGUUUAGAAUUAAAUAUUAAACUUUAUAUAUAUAUAUAUAUAUAUAAUUUAGUUUAAUGUGCAAUAUAAUACAUGAAUUUUAAAUUGGUGGAAUUAUAUAUAUGAACGUAAAAUAGUACUAAUUCAACAAUGUUUCAACUACCCAUAUUUGAGGAAAUAAGAAUAUACAUCUUGGCUUAAUAUAAUUAUUUGUAUAUGUAAUAUAUCAUUAUAAAAUAGUACUAAUUUGGUCAUAUUUCUAUUAAUUUAUGAAAAUUGAAUCGAAUCAAAAUUUCAUAUAUAAAAUCGCAUAAAGUCAAAUAUAUAUACGAUACUAUACAUUAAUUAUAAAUUUAAUAUUUAUCUCAUUAAUUCCUAAAAUAUUUUUAAAAUAAUGAUGAAAAGUUGAAGAAGUUGGAGUUAGAGAAAUGAAAUAGGGUCCAUCUAAUGUAUGCAUAACCAGAGCCGUGAGCAGUAGGGCCCACUGACAUGACAAUCCACGUGGGCUUGUCCGCUGCACGGAUAAAACCGCUUCUUUUCUUUUUUUCUUAUAAGAUAAGCACGUAAAAAUUAGGUCGGAAGCCGAAUUAGUUGAUUUUUUAAUUUUUUUAUUCAAUUUAUCGGUUUAAUAUUAUAAAUUAAAGAAAUUAAUAGUAAAAGAGUUAAAAGGUUGAAAAUCGAAAUAAAAUGAAAAUUAAAGAAAAAAACAAGAGUACUCCUUCUUGGCUAAAUUGCUAAAUAUGUGAUUUUUAUAAUUGAUUAAAUAGAUUUUUUUUCAAGAUUUAGAUAAAUAAGUCCAUUUUUAAAAAAAGAGCAUGAAAGCGCGCUUAAGUAGAAGUGUUUUCUGAAAAUUUCAAAGAAAACAUGUUCAACCAGAUGUGUUUUCCUUGACAUGUCAAUUAAAAAAAAUCAAUAUGUUACCUAUUUAGCCCUCCUUUUAGUUUUUAUCUUAAAACAAAAUUGUAAAAUUUUAUGGAGCGAUUUGAUAAUUUUUUGAAAAUUUUUAAUUAAUAAAAAUUUAAAAUUUUUCAUGAUUUUUUUAAAAAAUAUGUUUAAUAACUUACUAAAACUUUUUAAUUAAAAAAUUAAAAAAAUAUUUUAAUAUAUAUUUAUAUUGUUUGUAGUUAAUAAAUAUAAAUACACCCAAAUAUCUCAAAGCAGCAGGUUGAAACUCUUUAUAAAAAUAGAUCCUUUAACAAGAAAACACAACUGAGCAGUCAAACUUAGGACCUUGCCAAUCGGCUUCCUCAUUCUUUUUCUUAAGACACUAUUUUCGAUUUAAUAUUUAUUUUUUAAUUCUUUUAAAAAUAUAUAUUUAAUAACUUUUUGCUAUCAAGUACCUAAAGUUUUUAGUUGAUUAUCUUGGUCGCAUUUUUGUCGCAUCCAUCGGUUAAAUUGAUUACUCUCCCUUGGUUUUUCAUAAAAUUGUUUCACGGAUUUUGCAUUGCUUCAUUUUGAAUAAGGAGACUUCUUUUUGAAUAAACUACACUCAAGGUCACUACUAUUAUUAAGUUUACAUUUAGGUCACGUAACUUCAAAAAGUUACAAAAUUGUGAUUGAAUUAUUCGAAAGUUUUCAUUUAAGUUAUUGGACUGUUAAAAUCGCUAUUGUAUGGACUUCUCUAUUCGUACUAUCUGCAUCAAUUGAAAGCUCUUAUUCCCUUCUUUUCUACAGCUCAACUUUUUUUCAUAGAACAGCUUUAGAAUCAUGAAUCUUCGAACCAAAAUCCAAAUAACUUUCUUCUCCAAUCUCCAAUACUAACAGUUAGAUCGACUUGGAUCUAUGGUACGUUCUUCUCGUCUAUGAAUAUUGAUCCACCAUAUCAAUCGUCAAAUUUUCAUUAGGAGCUCGGUAGUCGAACUUUUUAAAAAAAUCUUAAUAGUCUCGUGACUUCAAUAAAAACUUUCAAAUAAUUCAGUGGCCAUUUUGUAACUUUUUCAAAUUAAGUGACCAAAACGUAAACAUAUUAUUUGGUAUCAUUUACCCCUUCUUUUUGAAAGAAGAAAAUAGAUGCCAAGGAUAAAGCGAGAUAGUUGUAUAAAUACUUGCUCCACUUCAUUUUACCCCACUUUUAAAAUUAUUAUAUUACUUUAUAUGUAAUAUUCUACGUAGCAGUUUUACAUUUUUAAUAUAUAUACUAAAAAUAUUAUGAUAAAAACAAAAAUAUAUGGAGAAUCAUAUAUAUUUAAUAUAUAUCAUAGGUAUACUAUACAAUUAUAUAUCUUAAAAUAAUAUUCAUGAAUGAAUUAUGAUAUAUAUUUAAUAUAUAUCAUAUGUAUACUUAGGAUCAAGCCCGCACCAAGCUUGAUCACUUUAAUAUGAUUAUUAUCACUCAUCAUUAAUAUAUUUUGUAACCCCAUCCUGUCAAAUCAUAUAGCCAACAUAAUAAGAUAUUUAUUUUGAAUCACAGGCCCACCAAUCAAAUGAUAACACAUAACUGUUCCUUUUAAAUACUCUAAAAAACUAAUCAAUCUUUCUUCUACAAUCUUUCUCUCUCUCCUAAGCACCUUCUAAGCUCUUCAUAGUCUCUUCUCCAUCAACUUAGUCACUUCCGCUCUUAUCCCAUGUAAAAGUGUUCGCCCAUUGUAGUGUUUCAGCUUUUGGACCAACAAAAGGAAGAGGAAACCUCACCUCUUUUACGUCACCACUCCACAUAUGCUCUUACAUGUGGCACAAUCUCAUAUUUUGAUCUGAUAUGUCACUCACCUUUAACAUAUCCUAGAAUCCAUCACGUUAAGUCACAUAACCAAUCUAACAAGACACUCAUUUAAAAUGAUAAAGCCCACCAAUAAAAAGACAUGUGACAUUUAAGUAUUCUCCUUAAAUACUCUCCCAAACCUCAUAACAAGGGAGAUCAAUCUUUUUUCUACCACCUCUUUUUUGGCUAAACUCUUUCCAAGCUCACCACAAUCUCUCCUCGCUCAACUCAAUCACUUGACUCUUGACCCACUAAGUGAACCGCAACAUUAACCUCAAACCACUUUUUCUCCUAAACAACUAUAUAUAUAUAUUUUUUGGAAGCCAUGAUAUAUUUUCUUAUUCUUAAAUUAUUUUUUCAUAUUGUUAAUAUAUAUAUUAAAUGGAUAAUGAUUCAUCCUCGUAAAAGUGUUUUCUGUUGUAGUCUUUUAGCUUUUAGGCCUGCAAACGGAGGAGGAAACCUCGCCUCUAUUACAUCCUUACCCCCACAUGAGCUCUUACAUGUGGCACGAUCUCGUAUCUUGAUCUGACAUGUCAGGUUACUUGUUCAAACGGGGUUUUGUUCAAACGAGUAGGUACACUAUUGCUUACUAAGUAUCAAGGAAUGUUGUAAGAUAUUAAGGUGGACAUAGCUUACAGUGGCUUCCUAUUCCACUCUCACGUGAUGUGUGUGUAUAGAAACGAUUUUAGCAUCUGAUACAGUGUAAGAACCUACUGCCCAUUUCCCUACCACCCUCGGGUUACAAAGGAGAAGAGCCAUCUCUAUUCAGCUUGAACCACUCCAUGAAAUCGGCAAAAAAGGGUAGAUUGCUUGGUCAAGGUGCAGAUUUGUGCUUUCCAUAUUCCUAAACACCUUAGCAUUCCAAAAUUUGCAUUUUCUAUUGUGAGGUUAACUUUUUUCUAUUAAUUUUAUCAAAUUAUAUGACACAUUCAUCUUGACAUCUUUAUACAGUUAGACAAAUAUUAUACUUUUUUUCUUUUUUAAAAGUGCAAAAAGAAUUAUCUAUGUAUAUAAAAAAUCGAGAUAAAUAAUAUCACUUCAUCACAUAUUUAAAGAGCUUAAUUAUUUGACGAAAUUAAUAGACUAGAAAUGAUGAAACUAAAAAGUCAAAUCUGCAAAAAGAAAAAAAAAGAAUACAAUAAUUUUGUUACAAUUUGACCGAUUUAAAUUCAAAAUAAAUUUAAAUAAAUAAAUUAAGGGUAAACUAUCACAAUAGUCACUUUUGUUUCUCUCGAGUUACAUUUUAGUUACUGAGUGUUAAUUGUCGUUAACGGUGUAACGGUAAGUUGAUGUGGCACGUUAAAUCAUUAUUUCAAAUGAAAAUUUUAGGUUAAAUUAUACAAUUGAUCCCUAUAUUUUUUCGUUUUGAGCAAUUUAAUUUUUUUCUUUUACGUUAAAAGAGAUGGAGAAGGGAGGAAAAUAGAAGGUGGAGCAGAAGAGAAUGAAAAAUAAAGAAAAAAAAGAAAGUUAAAAGAACAUAAACAAAAAGUAUACGGGGACCAAUUGUAUAAUUUAACCUAAAUUUUUUGUUUAAAAUGAUGAUUUAACGUGCCACGUCAGCUUAUUGUUACAUCGUUAACGACAAUUAACGGCUCAGUGACUAAAACGUAACAUUUCAAACAUAAAUGUCUAAAAUGUAACCUAAGGAAAACAAAAGUGACUAUUUUGAUAGUUUACCCAUGACUUAAAUAUUCGAUGAAUUAAUUUUAGUUUUAACGAUUUUUUUACUAAAAUAAUAUUUAAAAAGAAAACCAAAAUGGCAUCUUUCAAAAAUUAUGUACCAAAAUGGUACAUUUAGGGUGGUGGAGGGUGGUGCAUAGGCGGCUAGGGGUGAGCAUUCGAUCGAAUCAAAAUGGAACUUGUAGAUGAUGAAGACGUGGAGACAAUGAUCGUUCUUUAUUAUGGGAAUCGAGGUGACCAAACUGCACCAAUAAUAAGUAAAAUGUAUUGGUUUAAAAUACAAUAUAUAUAAUAACAUGCCAACUUAAUUAUUGUAAAAAAAUAUAAUUUUUUUUGCAUAGAAGGAUUCAAUAGAAAUUUCAUUUAUAAUAUUUUAUAAAAAAAAUAAAAUAAAAUUUAAAAACAUAAACUCUUAUUCUCAAUUAUAAAAUAUUAAAAAAUUAGAACAUAUAAACUAAUUCCUAAUUUAUCUUAUUAAUUCCAAAUUCCAUAUCAAUGGUCUCAUCUUUUACCUACAUAAAAAAUAAAAAUAUAUAUAUUAAAAUAAUCAAAAUAAAAUUUCAAAUAAAUUACAUAAAAAUUAUAUCUAAUCAACCUAAAACACACAUAACAAAUAAAUUAUAUAAUAAAUAAUAAAUAAAAAUCUUUUCCAACUUUAGUUUAAACUAUUUAAAAUUAAAAAAAAUAUUAAUUUAAUAAAUAAUGGUUUCGAAAAUAUUGUUUCCCAACUUUUUCAUUUUGUCAAUGAAUCUAAUGAAUGAUCUUUGGGAAUUACUAGCAACCAAAAAAGAUUACUUUUAAUUUUGAGAAGCAAAAAUAAUUAACAGAAUAAUAGCAAAUUUAUUUAUAACAAGAUUUAAACCAAUAAUAUUACCUUCAAAGUAUAAUUUGAUAUUUAUAUAUAAAUUUUUAAAAAAUAUUAUUACCUUAUAUUUUAUUUAUAUCAUGAGCGUAAUCAUAAUAUAUAAUAUAUAAUAUGCUUGACAUGCCAACCUUAUGUUAUUAUCAUGGGUUUUGUCAAGGAGUGAUUUUAAGGCCAUUUUUUUUUUAAAUUUUCUAUCAUCAAUUAAUAUAUUAAAAAAGAUUGUUCUCUGUUUAUAUUUGGGAAGCAAGUUAUUUGAUAUAAUACAUUUUGUAACAAAAUCUGUUUUUGAAUCUAUAGAAUUUGGUAUAUUGAAUCUAAAUUAUUUAUUAUCUUUAUCUGUUUUGAAUCUAUGGGAUUUGGUAACGUAAAUAGGCUUUUUUACUUCAAUAGAUAUUAAAAAUAAAUUAUGAAGGAAUGAAAAUAUAAAAUAAAUACAAACAUACUUUAAUAGCUCUUUUUAACCAAAUAAUACCUUACAAAAAUAAAAUUAAAAAUUAAACAACAAAAACAAAUUAACAUUAACAUUAACAUUAAUUUAUAACCAAAAAAAUUACAUUUUCUUAAACACUUAAUCUUCCCUAAACAACAAACUCUCAUUUCCUUUUCUAUUUAUUUUUUUUCCUUCUCUUUCUCUUUCGCUCUCUCUAUUCUGCUUCUCUUUUUUUUUCUUUCUUUCUUUUUCCCUUCCCUUCCCUUCCCGCCCUCUCCUUCUUCAUCUCUUCUUUUCUUCUUCUUUCUCUCUUUUGACUGGCUAAAAACGGCCAUUAUGGUCCCCAAACAAGUCACGGGCCUUCAAAGUGACAUGUCCCAUCGUGCAACAACUUUUUUUUUGUCAAUUUAUUUUUUUAACAGUUUUGUUUUUUUUUUGUACCAUCCUACAUGUAACAUUUUGAUACAUAAUUUUUGAAAUAUGCCAUUUUGAUAUUUUUUAAAAUAUUAUUUUAAUAAAAAACCCUGUUUUAACGGAAUUAUCUUUUUGUUUCUUUUAGAUAGAGCACGACAAAAAGGAGGAAAUUUCAUAAGGUGGUUGGGUUGAAGGUUGAUUUUAACACCGAGAACAUGACUAAGUAGUACAUGUGUUGUCCAUAAAAGGUUGAAGAGCAUUGGUGCUUAACUUUUACUUCAAGAUUUUUUUUUUUAAUAUUUAAUAUACCAACAAUUUAUAAUUAUAUAUAUUCUUAAUAAAUUAAAUGAUGUCAAAUCAUUAAAAAUAAAAUAAAUUUAAUUUUAAAUUUUUUAAUAAUGUGGCAUUAUCUUAUUCAUUCACAAUAUAUAUUAUUAAUAUAUGUAAUAGAUUGUGACAUUAAAUUUUAGAGAGAUCUAAUUAUAAUUUUUUUAAAAUAAAAAUUUCCAAAAUUUAUGUGGGAUUAAUUGAAAAAUUAAAAUAUUUUACGAGAUUUAAUGAUAAUUUUAAAAAAAAUUUAAAAAGAGAGAGUAAUGAAAAUUUCUAAUUUUUCUUUUAAUGAACAACAAUUAGCACAAUUCAAACCUAAGUCACAGUUGGAGUGGUAAAUACUCUUUACCAUCAUGCCGGUUCUAAAUUUCUAAAAUUUUUAAGUAUGAUGAAAUAUGAAUCCUAAUUAAUGUAGGUUUCAUGCUAAACAAAGUGAUGGUUAGGAUUAAGAAAAGGUGGAAUUGAAGUGACACCCAAAUGAAUUCAUGUUUUAGAAAAGUGAUAUUUUAUGUUUUUUUUUAACUUUAAAAACUUAAAAAUAAUCAUUGAUUGAGUCUUAGUUUGAUUAGUAUUGUACUGUUGUCAAUACAAUGAGUUUGAGUAUACUGAAGUGCAUUAUUCUCUUAUUUAAGGGUUAGGAAGGAGCUAUAGAUAAUUUUAAACACGGUACCAGAAAGAACAGAUAUAAUAAAAACUUACAAUAAAAUUAAUGUUAAAAAAUAUAAAAAUAAUCUUUGAUUUAGGAAAAAAAAAUUAUUUGUCAACGGAAUAAGUCAUUUCAUUUCAUUAUUUUCAUAAUCACAAUCAAAAACUUUUAGUUAAAACGACAAAUGAACCAAAAAAUCAUCCACUUCUUCAUUAAAAGUCACAUCCUUACUGUAGCGACGUAAAAAUUUUGGUUUGGGGUCGCUAAUUGUGACAAUCUAGUGAAAAAGUUUGAAAACUGAAGUUUGAUUUUAAAAAAAAAAGGGAGUCGCCACCGAUCCUUUUCCUAGGUAUGAUCGGACACCUAUUAGAUUCAUUUUUUUAAAAACAAAAGGAAGGCUGAAUUUAGGUCUACGUUAAAAGCCAGAGGAAAAUUAGGGUUCUGGAGUCGGUUACGCGCGAGGAAGGUAUUAGCACCCUCGCGACGCCCAAAAAUUGGUAUCUCAUAAACACAUGUUGUCUUAAUUUUCAAAAAUGCGAAUUCAAUGUAAAGUUUAGUUGUGAUCUGAAAAAAACGAGAAAUUUUAGUUUAUUCCGGUUUUUGAGAAGGGUAUAUCGCUUUAACACGAGUCAAUUGACGUUCACCCAACGUAGCGAUGAACUCGAUGACUUAAUGUUAAAUCGAUAUGUUGCCUUGAUUAUUGAAAUUAAUUAGCAAAACAAGAAUACGAUUUUCGAAAUAAUGCAAAGUAAAAUAAUAUGAAAUAAAAAUCAAUAAAUGAAAGAGCUAGGGAUAUAUUAAAACAAAUAAUCGAGGUGACAAUAAUAUUAGAAAAGAUGAAGGUAUAAUGUAAUAAUAGAAUCGGACACGAAAUUAAAAUAAUGAAUGUAUACACAUAAUAAUAAUAUUAAGAAUGCGUGCGUACGAUGAUAUAUGUAUAUUUAGCAAUAUUAAAAAUCCAUACAACACGCAUAGAACAUAUACAGUAUAUGCAUACCUUAGAGAUGAUAAGAAUAAUAAUAAAACUAUUUUGUACACUACAUAAAUACAUACACACAUAUAUAUAUAAACAAUAGUAUAUACAAUAUAAUAUUAGAAAUAUGUGUAUAAUAGUGUAAAAGAAAAAUAUAACUAAUAAUAUUAAAAUAUAUACAAUGAUAAUAUAUAUAAAAGAUAUAUGUAUAUAUAAUUAUAUAAUAUAAUAUUAAAAUAUAAUAAUACAACAUAAAAAACAUGACACAAAUAAAGUAUAGUAUUAAGAACACAUAUAUAUAAUACAUGAAGAAUAUACAUAAUACUAAAAUAUUUAGGUAAUAUAUGCGUAUAUUAAAAACUAGUAAUAAUAUUACCGAGGUAUAUACAAAUAUAUCAAGUAUAUAUACAUAUUAUAAAUAUAUAAAUAUAUAACAAAGCAUAAACUAAUAAUAAUAAUAAUAAUAAUAAUAAUAAUAAUAAUGAUAACAUUGAAAUAUAAAAGAAACAAACAUAACAUUAAUAAAAUAUUAAAAUAAAGUGAAAUAAAAAUAUUAAAUAUGAAAAUAUAUAUAUGUAUACACGUACAUAAUAAAAAUAUAUACUAAUACAUAAUAAUAGUAAUAGUAAUACUAAUAAUACUAAUAAUAUAAAAAUAACAAGGAUAUUUAAUAAAGAUAUAAAAAUAAACGAAAAAAAGGACUAAAAUUGAAUUAAAAACAAAGUUGUGGGGCCAAUUUGAAAUGAAAACAAAGAAAAGGGACUUAAUUGUACGCGCGUGAAAUGUUGGGAGGAUCGAAACAGCAAUAUUUCCACUCCCUCUAAACGCAGCGCAUUAUCAGGACUAAUUUGAUAACCUCAAAAAAUCAUGGGGCCGAAUUGAAAACCAUAAAAAACUUAAUUGUGAAGCAUCAGAAAAGCGGAAGGACUGCGCGCAUAAAUAUCCCAUUCAAACGAAAACACGCGGAUCCUCUAGCGGGUCGGGUCGGGCAUGGCCAAAACGACGUCGUUUUGGGGCUUAAGUGUAGCCCCCAAAACGACGUCGUUUUGGUGGGCUAUAUAAGGCCUAAAAUAACCAAAAAAAUCAUUUGGGGAGAGGGAAAGAAAAAAAAAAGAGAGAGGGAAGAGAGAAGGGAGAGAGGAGAGAGGGGAAUCCGGCCAGGGGCCGGUCACCGGACGGCCAUCGGAGGCUCGCCGGCGCCGGCGCCGGCCACCGUGAAAUUCGAAAAGGUCAAUUUUUUUCUUUUUUUUAUUGUUUGUAUUAUAUUGUUAUUUUUUAUAUAUUUUAGUAUAUAUAUAUGGGAAAAUAGAACAAAAGACAAAACAAGAAUAGAUUCACAACCACCUUAGGUUUCCGGUUCAGAUUUUUGACUUGUUGAUUCACUGAUUUUUGGGUGUUCGAAUCUCUGCCUUUUGAUGUUAAGAUCGUAGUAUUUCGGAUAUCAAUUGUUUGCUUUUUGGUUAAGAAAUCGAAAGAGAGAAGAGAAAAAAAAAAGGGUCCCCCCCAAAAUACAACCGAUUCUUCCCUUUGAAAUCUCCAAAAAAUUCCCCCUAUAUUACAUUCAGAUCUGGCAUUUAUAGCCAUUUCAAUACAAUAUUUUUUAAAAUUUCUUGCCAUUGCUUCCUGUCGUCUGCCUCUGUCUUAGUGUUUGCUUUCUUUUUUGUCUUAUUCUGCAGGUGAUGGAAAUCAACAGGUGGGCGCACAUGGAGGAGUUGGUGGGAGUGUCAGACGCGUGGGGCGUGGUGGCCAAGGCUGAGGGGCAUGGUGGCCGACAUGGUGGCAUGGAGAGCUGGGGUAGUUGGGCUUCGGGUUUAUUGGGUUGUUUGGUUUAGUGGGUUGUUUAGGAUGAGAUGGGUAUGGGGUUUAAGUAGGUUUAGUUAUUGGGUUUUGGGGUGGCCCAAAAUUGGCCUGUACACUUACUAAAUUUGUAAUAAAUUAAAAAAAUCCAAUUUUAGUAAAAAAAAAUAAAAAAAUUAAACACUAUUAUUGUGAAGGUCAUACCACAAUAUGAUUGAGGCAUUUUAGAGCUUACAGUCAUAAUCAUGAUUCAAGAUAAAAGAUUUUUGUUUAAUUUUAAAAUUUGGUUUACAUUAAAUUUAAAGUUUCAACUCCUAC
rnacentral:lncRNA from 1 species